ACACACAUAAAAUUACCUCAAUAACAUAUAUUUCCUGAAUAUGAUAAGAAUGUAACUUCUUCUUUUUGGGUCAAAAAUGAUAAGAAUGUUUGUUACAUCUCGGACUUAAGACCCUAAUUAACUAAGGGAUGAAGUUUCAUGAAUUGUUUUAAUGGCUGGUGUAGCUCGUGAUUGCGGGAGUAACAAGGCUUCUCAUUCUUUGAAGGGAUGCAAGUGGACGCCAAUCCUAGCAAAUACACCAAAUAUUUAUAUUACUGCAUGUUGAGGAUUAUGAUUGUAUGGUAACUCUACUGCGUGUCGAUGCAUGCAUCAGCUUGAAGAAUUUCUCUUCUUGAUACCUUUUGAUCCAAGUAUGCAAACGAUGAAAAGGAUAUGACGCUUGCCAAAAUUACGGCUGGUCAAAAUUAGGAGCAUGGGCUAACGACUUUAUGAACGAUCAUAAUAUGGGCUGAAUAAAUGCCCACUACUAGCAAAACUAAGCCCACAAAAUAGGUUUUUUGUUUCCUUAAGGACUAAGCCCACUAAAUGCAUACUGAAAUUCCACUGUGUAGGACUAUUCGAAAAUCUAGGAAUCAAAAGUCAUGUCAACUAAAAAACACUCACAAGCAAAUGCCACACGCAACUUGAUAGCAAUGAUAUAUAUAUAUAUAUAUAUUUUUUUUCCGACUGAAUGAUUCCAUUAUAUUAGGCGAAAGUGGAAUGCAUUUUUGAAAUACAACAACGAUAAGAGUCGAAACUCUGUCAGAAAUUAAGUCGGAGAAAGACAACAAUAUCUUCUGAAACCUAAGCCCAAAAGAGAGAAACAAACUGUAAGCAAAAAGUUACAAAAAAGUAAGCAUAAAAAUAACCUAAAAGCUAAAUCUGAAACUCAAAACAUCAUAACCUGCAAUCAAUCCCAUAGUAACGAUUAGCGUCGAGCUGAAACCAAGAAACAUGAGCCCCAAGAAGAACCAACUCAGCGGACAAACUCCAAAAGAAAGGAAAUCCCGAAAAAGAACGAAUAUAAAGGCUCAACAAGCAACAACCCAAUAGAACAGAUAACAAUGAUAUAUAACACGAUAUUCUAGAUUUCUAGAUUUUUUUUGCAUUAGUGCGCAACAUAAUAUUAAACCUAAUCAACAAAAAUAUGCCAAAUUCCUAAAAAUGAUAAGAAUGUCUCUUAAAUCUCGAAGUUAAGACCCUAAUUAACUUCAUUAACGCUUCUUAAUCUAUAAAUAUAUAGUUCUUCAAAAAUCUUUCAACGCAUUAAUUAUUCAAAAAGUAAACACAUGGAAGCCGUGUAGUUCACGCGCCGGUCAAAUCGAAACCGUAGAAAAAAGCAAAGAAAAGAAGACAAAAACGGACUUGACUUAUAGAGAAAGACUUAAACAAUGGCGAAGACGAAGACGAUGAGCAACAACAACAACAACACACUAGUAACAACAGUAGCAUCAGCUUGAAAGAGAGAACUAAAACCUAGAAAUCGAGAGAGAUUGGUGGAAGAUUUUUCACCAGAUUUCAUGGGAGAAGAAGAGAGUCGAAUUGGAGACGAGCUUUCGAUUUUGGUUCUCACGGCGGAGCGACUCCGUGUAGCUGUGGAUGAAGCUGAAUCAUUCAAAACAGAGUGUGGCGAGGUUGGUAAACAAGUAGAUCGGCUUGCUCAAAUGCUUAGAACACUUGUUCGAUUCGUCUCUAGUUCUUCUCAACAAGUUUAUGAUCGGCCGAUUCGUAGAGUUAUCGUCGAUGUUAAGAAGAAUCUCGAGCGUGGUUUUGCUCUUGUUCGUAAGUGUAGGAGACACAAUAUAAUCCGACGAGUUUGUACUAUCAUCAACGCUGCUGAUUUUCGUAAGGUGAUUAAUCUUCUGGAAUCUUCUAAUGGUGAUGUGAAAUGGAUUCUGAGUGUGUUUGAUUCCGACGGAGAUGGAAGUUUUGGUGGUGGAAUCGUGAUUUCGCUUCCUCCGAUUGCUACGAAUGAUCCGAUUUUGCCUUGGGUUUGGUCUUUGGUUGCGUCGAUACAGAUGGGGAAAUUGGUUGAUAAGAUUGAUGCGGCGAAUCAGCUUGGUUCUCUUGCCGGAGAUAAUGAUCGGAAUAAGAAGAUUAUUGUUGAUGAAGGUGGUGUUUCUCCGUUGUUAAGGCUUUUAAAGGAGAGUUCAUCGGCGGAGGGGCAAAUCGCGGCGGCUACUGCGUUAGGGUUGUUGGCUUGUGAUGAAGAUAAGGUUAGGUCUAUUGUUAAUGAACUUGGUGUUCCGAUUAUUGUUCAGGUUCUUGGUGAUUCUUCUGUUAGAGUUCAGAUUAAGGUAGCUACAUUGGUUGCUAGAAUGGCUGAACAUGAUCCUGUUGCUCAAGAUGAGUUUGCUAGGCAGAGUGUGAUUAAGCCAUUAGUUACGUUGCUUUCGCUUGAUGUGUUUGUUGAUGAUAUUCAUUUGAGUAAGCAUAAUAGUAUUCACUCUCUUGUUCAGAUGAACAAAGAGGUUGAGAAAGAUCCGUCUUCGAAGCUUUAUAGGCCGCUUAAGAGUUCUAAGUCGAAUGUGUAUCGUGACAUUGGUGGUAGUGGAAGUAGAACUGGGAAUUUCAAGAAGGAGAGGGAUAAUGAGAAUCCUGAGGUGAAACAUGAGCUUAAGGUCAAUUGUGCGGAAGCUUUGUGGAUGCUUGCUCGAGGAAAUGUAGCGAAUAGUAGGAGGAUUACGGAAACGAAAGGGUUGCUUUCUUUGGCGAAGAUUGUGGAAAAGGAAGUUGGUGAAUUGCAAUAUAAUUGUUUGAUGACUCUGAUGGAGAUAACCGCUGCUGCGGAGUCGAGUGCUGACCUUAGACGGGCAGCAUUCAAGACUAAUUCUCCUGCUGCUAAAGCUGUUAUUGAUCAGAUGUUAUGGAUAAUCAAAGAUGUCGAUAGCCCGAUUUUAAAAAUCCCAGCGAUUCAAUCUAUCGGGUCAUUGGCACGGACAUUCCCGGCAAGAGAAACGAGAAUGAUCAAGCCAUUGGUUGAGAAACUCGGUAGUAGCAACCAAGAAGUGGCUAUAACAGCUGUAAUUUCAUUGCAGAAAUUCGUAUGUCCCGAGAACUUCCUCUGCGCAGAGCACUCGAAGAACAUAAUCGAAUACGGAGCAAUCCCGUUAUUGAUGAAACUAAUAAGGAACGUCGAGCAGCAAAUGCAGUUACAGUGUCUAGCUUUACUCUGCUACCUUUCCGUGAAUGCCAGUAACCACCAACAGUUGGAACAGGCCAAGGUUUUGACGGUGCUCGAAGGUGCAGAACGUUUGGCGGGUCUGCAGAAUAUGGAGUUGAGAGAACUCGUGUCGAAAGCUAUAUAUCAGCUAAGUCUAUACAAUGCAGGAAGUCACAGUCAAAUGCUAUCGUAUGUUGGUCCUUAAAGCAAGAUACAGUUUAUAGUGUGUUGGAUUCAUAUCGUACAGACAGGAAUCUUCAUUGUUAGAUUUACAGAGAAAGAGCAAAAAGCAGAAUCUCUCAUUUUGUGAUCGCUGAUUGAUCAAAUCCUUCAUUGUAUAUGGAACGACACAAAGAUAAUUAGGUGGAAGGGUAAUAAAACUAGCUUUGCUCUCUGUGAUUCGCUAGGCUAUGAAGUAUGAAUGAUGAUUCCAAAAUUCCUGGUUCAUGAUAUAAAUUUUGUAACAUGGUUUUUGAUGCAAAUGUGGGCCUUAUUAUAUCUUAAUUGAGUUGUGUUGUGUGGCCCAGUGGAAUUUUAGUGUUUAGGUUCAUUACAAAAUAUAAAAAACAGAUGCGUCUUGUUUUAGCCGUCACAAAAUUUAGCAAAAUAAAAACUUGAUUUAUGUCAUUAGAUGAUUAUGUCAUCUAGAAUAAUAUAUAAUAUUUUUAAGUAUAAUUACAUUAUAUAUCAGGAAACUAAGUUAGGUUUUAGUAUUUUCAUCGGUGUAAAUCUUGAAACUCCUAAAAUAGUUUGAAAUUUUAAUAUUUCUUUUGAUCCGUCAAAACAUGUAAUGACCAUAACCCCAUCUUUCGUAAAUACAAUGUAUUCUUUGUUUUGAUGAUAAAUUCGUAUAUAUUAUAUAUAUCUUUGUAACUAGUACACAUAGAAAUUCGUGGAACUACAAAUGUUUGUUUAAACAAUCAUUCAAAGACGUUCAAUAUAAUAACCACCAAACUCUUAGUUUUCCUCUAAAUGUUCAUCCAAGUAAUAGAUUUUGAUAUUUAGAAUUUGAAUGUUGAAUUUCAUUGUAGGUUGUUGAGUAAAGAGUAUGUAAGUUUACAAACUCAUUCCAAUACAGUGACAUGUGUCAUCGAAUACAUCUGCAUUAUCAAAUAGCAAGUCAUCUACUUCUAAUAGAUGUUUAGGCAUGACGUUGAUAAAUUCUUGAAUUGAGAGAUAUCGAUCAAGAUAAAAAAUCCGUACUAUAUUUUUGAAUUUAGAUUUAUAAAUUCUUGAUAAAUUAGACUUUUACCAAUUUAAAGAGAUAAUUUUAAAACUUUAUUAUUGUAAAGGAUUUCACAAUGAAAAUUUAGAAAAUAAAAGUUAAAUCAGUGUCACGUAAUAAUAUUUUGGAUACUAUCAAUCUUGUAAUCUCGGUUUAGAAAAAAAACAAAGAUUAAAAAAAGAUAAACGGAUUGAACUCAAUUGUACAAAAUGUGUUCUAGUGAACUUACCCGACACUAAACUUAUAUUUUAUGUAAGUGUGAGCGAUUAAAUGCUACCUGAGAGAUUAUGAAGAUUCUAGUGAUAGGGUUAUUCUUAAAAUGGUGGAGGAUAUGACCGAGAAAAUGACAAGUAUUGGAAGAGCCUGAAUUAGAUAUGGUUUCUUUUAGAAGUAUGGAUAUUGUUGCAUAUUGGAAAAACAAUACAUCCCGUUUUAAAGAAUUAUCAUCAAUGGCGUGUGAUAUUCUUAGCAUUUCGUUCACUAUCGUUGCAUCGGAAUCAGCUUUUAGUAUCGGAAGUCGUGUUCUUAACAAGUAUAGAAGAUGCUUGUUACCAACAAAUGUACAAGCUCUCAUAUGCGCAAGAAACUGAUUUCAUGGAUUUCAAGAAGUUGGUAUAUAUUCUAAUAAGAAUUUUGUUUACAUAAUUGAUUUAUAGUUGGCCUUGCUUGAUUAAUAGUUUUGUUGGAAACUUAAAUGGCUUUGGGAUUGCAUCUUUUAGAUUAAUAGCUCGAUUAUAACAGUUUAACCCACAUCUGAACUCGUUUGCAUGUGGUUGGAUCAUUUGUUUUAGCCUUAGUUAUUACAAUGUCUUUAAAGAAGUGUUUGAAUUGCAGUGAUACUAGUAUUCUUCCUCUCAUGAUCAGUAUGAUAUGUAUAAGAGCUCACAAUGAUUCUUUUAGCUAACUACAUGGUUUUUAUUAUUGUAGGUGAUGAGGUCUAAAUUCAUGAGGAGAAAGGGAACACACAUUGUGAUAAAGUUUCAGUUUGAGUGGCUCUUGGGAAUUGCUGCUUUCAUAUACAAGUAAGUAACAAUUUCUUUGGUUGGUGUUUCAUGAUUGUAUUAUGCGAAGUUAAGCUGUGUGGUGUCAGCUCAUUAGAACAACAAGACACAUGAAUUAGGUAUAGGAUUGACACCAUUUACGUUCAUCAUAAUGUAGGUCUGUGUGAAUAUUGUGAAGAAAAUAUUGACUUCUUAGACCAUGGAUAAUGGGCGAAUUCUUAGACCAUUAUCCAUUAAGGACCAACCAUUGGAACCCAUAAAAAAUAGUGGUCUAAAUAGACAUACCCAUUAGAAUUUGGAAUGACCAAUUAACACUUCUACUUAUACUAUCCAAAUACGUGAAAAUAAUACUCUAGCGACUAGAAAACUUGAUUAGUAUUACAUUUAUUAAUUUUAUAUUUUUUUGGAUAAUAUAAAUUACAUUUUUAUUAGAUUCAAGUUCAUAGGCUCAAACAAAUUGACUAGGAUUCAAACUCGAUCAUAAUGAACUGAAUCAUUUUACAGUAAAUACUCAUAAUUUAUAAUCACUAUACUAAUAGUUUUUUCUAAUCCCCGAGUUGAGGUAUUUUAAUAAUUAAUACAAUUCGAUAAGAUACAUUUUAAAAAAAAACAUUAUGUAAGUAUAUGGUCAUAUAUAUAUAUAUAUAUAUAUAUAUAUAUCAGAAACUAAAUAUAUGAAUAUAUAUAAAAAAGUUUGAUCUUAAUAAAGAAUGCUUUAGGAAUUUCUUCACGAUAUAAUUAUGAUCCAUGUGUCCCACAUAAACAUCCAUGUUGUGGCACUCAAUGUCAAUUAGACAGAUACAUAAGUAGAUGCUUGAUGGAUAAAUUCUAUUAUUAAUUUCCUUUAAAAUCUGAAGAGUAUUCUUUUGCUAAGUUCAUGGAUACGGUAAGUUUCCACAUUUUCAUCAUGUGUUUAGUUUGGAUACGCCAAUUUUGUUCUGUAGUGAUGAUCUUCACAACCAAGGUUUGAAAGCGUUGCUGACAAACAACGUCUAGCUGAAAUUUGAACUAUCUACAAAAUAUGUAAGAUUCUUAUAAUGGACAUCUGUGUUCAGAGGCAGAUCUAUGUUGAAGCAUUACAUAGACAGGUGCCUUACACUAUUACUGAAAGUUUUAUGUUUAUAGCCACAAUUAUUAGAUUAAAUCAUGACAAAAUUGGUCGAAUUCUCAUGAGGACCUUAGGUAAAAUAGAUUUUAACUCACUUCCUAUCUUCUUUCUUCUUAUUCCUUUGUUUUACUUUUUAUAAUUAAUAUUUUUUUACUUUGUAGUUUCUGAAUUUUUUCUCCUGUAUAUUUCUAAGUAAAAAUAGUUAAAUAUUCUUAUCAUUUUAUAAACAAACUUCAAAUUCAAUACAAAAUUACUAAAAAUUAAUAUUUUUCCUCAAUGCUAUAUUAGAUUUUAUUUAUACACCGUUUAUAAAUAUUAAUUAAUGGUGCCCCACGUAGAAAAAUUUCGAGAUCUGCCAUUGUAUGUUGAUCUAAAUUUCUGGGGUGUAUAUGACUAUAUGUAAAGGAACAAACUUUUGUUUUAGUAAAGAGUACAUUUCAUUCUCUGCAUCUUGUGUCAACUUUUGCAUGACUUCAUUUGCUAAGCUUGUUUUGGAAUUAGAGUAUGCAAUAUUAGAGUAGGCUAAUAAUAUUAUCUAAACCUAAAAUUUAGUGGUGUAUUGUCAACUUAAGUUUGUCCUAAACUCAUCACUUUAUAAAUUCACCAAACACCCAACUUUGGGUUUUGUCUUCUUUUGGCAAAAUUAAUACUAUAUUAAACUUUUGGAUUGAGAUAUAAAAGGGGACAAUUAUUCUUUGUGUACUAGAUAAUUAAUUGUUACUUUCUAUUAGUUCCUGUUUGUCUCUCCAUAUAUAAAUAGUUAACUAUUAUUUCGGAAAGUUUUUGUUAUUUUAUUCAUAAUUCUUUGUAUACCUAAUAUACUAAUACCACAUAAAUCAUCGACUGAUCCGCAGUAACACGAAACCAAUGGUACUGGAAACUGGAAACUGGAGACUGGAAACAGUUAGAUUUUACAUAUUUUCUUGACUUAACCGUAAUAACAGAGUAUACAUUUAUUUUCCUAUACCUACAAGGUAUAAAUUUUCUUAAAAUGUAUUGUUGUAUUAAAAUUUAGAUUUAAUACAAUGUUUCCUUGACUAAUUAAGCUAAUUAAGCACAUUUGAAUGAGUUGAACUAGCGAAGUACAUUAAAGAGAUUUAAAUAAUAUUUGGGACCAAUAGUACUAUUAUUAAUUUUUGGAUAAGGUCUUUUUACUUUUAUAAUGUACUACUAGAGUGUAUAACGGUUGCUUAUGAUUGAGUAAACAUUGUAAUUGCUACAGAUCAUUCCCCAUUAACUAAUUUUUAUUAUUAUUACUCAACAAUUCACCACCUUUUCUAUUAUUAUUAUCCAUAACAUAAUUUAUGUCAUAUUAUUAAUUAUCAGCUCUUGGUUUUCUUUUUACUACUAAUAUGUAGCCACCUUUUUUAUAUAAAGAAUUAUCAAUUAACAAUGGACUGAAAGAAUGUAUUUGAAUUUUGAAGCCUAUGAAAAGGCGUUGAGGAAAGAAUCAAGUUUCUCAUUGGUUUUGCAGCUAGUUUUGUAUGUAAAUGUAGAGAAACAGAAUUUACACUAAGAUGUGUUACAUUGUACCUAAGUGUAUGUUUUUUUAAAAACACCUUCCUGUAAAUUUUUAAUAACAAUUUGCCAUGGAAACACAUUAUUUGCAAGAUUUAUGACCCGAGAUCAAGGUGUUUGACACGGAGAGAGGAGCUUUUGUUCUUCACUAGUUUUUUUUUUUUUUUUUGGUUCUUCAUACUAGUUAAUCCACACUUUUAAAGAUAUGUGCAAAUUUUUCUUUGUGGAGGAAAGAAAUUUUGUUGACCUUUUCGUAGAUAAAUGAGUGCCAUGUUAUGAGGCGUAUGGUGCGGUAUUAGAAGUAGGAGUGCAACAAAAUAAAACUUUGGUUGUUGUGAGUUUGUAAUUCAUAUAUGUUUAUGGUACACGUAGGAAAAUUAUAUGAGAGAAUAGAUGUGAAAACUCUCUAGUUUAUAAAUGGGGUUUAAGCACUUAACAAGUGGUUAGGACUUACUUAACAUAAACUAUUUGUUAACUUUUGGAGUUUUGAAGGGUAUUUCUGAAAAUAACACAAGAGAAUAGGUCAUUUAGUAAAACUAUUGCUAUAUAAUACCUUGCAUGUAGCCAUUUCCUUUCACCAUACACCAACAAAAAGAAACCCCAAAAAGAAUCAAAAACAUAACACAAAGUUAUAAGAAAAUAUGAAGACAGUAAAGAGUUUACCUAUUUUAGCUAUGCUACUCGGUGUCAUAAUUGUAGCCGCCGCCAUCUCCACCGUCUCCGUUGAGGGCCGUAAACAUCACGUAAAGAAGAUUAAACCCAAACACCGUCGUCAUUCCAAAAACACUCCUACCGGCUCUCCGGCACCCGCACCUUACCCGUCCACCAACGAGGGCGUUUUCAACAUUUUCUCCUAUGGUGCCAAGGGUGAUGGAGUCUCUGACGACUCAAAGGUACGUCCAUAUAUUUUUAACAUCAACUUGAUGCUUCAAAGAAAAAGAAAUAUUAAUCUUUUAUCAAAAAAUAUCUAAAUUAGUGUCUCAAUUCUUAAUUUACGUUUGCGUUUGAUUUUUCGUUUAUAUUUAGAGUCAAUGUUUUUUUCCAAGUAAACUCAUUACAUAAAUAAUCAUAUUAACCAAAACUGUUUUGGUAAUUGUACACGUAAUUAAUCGCCAAACACAAGUGGAAGAAAACAUUCGUAUGCAUUUGCCGAAUACAUUCUGUCCAAAUAAUUGAUAGUUUAUGAAUUUGAGCUUCUCAUGAAAAUAAAAACACAAUUUGUUUUUGAGGCAUUUGUAAUUGAGUGCGCAGGCAUUGGUCGGAGCGUGGAAGGCAGCUUGUAAAGUGGUCGGAGGGAAAGUGGAGAUUCCGGCAGGGACACAGUUUUUGGUGAAGGCAGUGACACUGCAAGGGCCGUGUAAGGAGGAGACGGUGGUUCAAAUAGAAGGAAUCUUAGUGGCUCCAGAGAAGAUAGGGUCAUGGCCUAAUUCAAGCUUGUUUCAAUGGCUUAACUUCAAAUGGGUCAGUCAUUUGACCAUCCAAGGCUCAGGGACUCUUAACGGUCGUGGCUAUAACUGGUGGAACUUAGACACUUAUCAAACUCAGGUACGGACUUAAUUCAAAAUAUAAUACUAAAAAUCACUAUACUGAAAGUUUAAGAUCUUUGUUAUAAUUAUAAUUGCAAUCAAGAUUUUUUGUGUUAUGUACUUUGAAAGAUUAAUGUUUUGUUAUAUGUUCGUUUGAUAUUUUUUCGAAAUUGUAUUAUGAGAUUUUAAAAUAUUUAUUGGUUUUUCUUUCUUUUUUUCAGACGAGAAAUAAGUAUAUCCCACCAAUGAAACCAACGGUAAGUCUAUUGUUACUAAUUUUUUUUUUUUUAACUACAGAUUCGUAAAAUGUUUAUUGAUUGGCUUAUGUGAAUUAUAAGUAUAGGCACUUCGGUUUUAUUCAAGUAAUAACGUCACGGUCCGUGAUAUAAGCAUCGUGAACAGUCCAUUAUGUCAUUUGAAGUUCGAUGAUUCGGAUGGAGUCAAAGUCAACAACAUUACGAUCUCUUCGCCGGAGAAUAGCCCUAACACCGACGGCAUCCACCUCCAGAACACACGUAACGUCGAGAUUCAACACUCCAACAUCGCUUGUGGUAAUUCAUAUUUUCUUACAAUAAAUUUUCAUUUAUUUUCUUUAUUAAUUAACUAUAUAGUUCCGAUCCAUAGAUCAUUAACAUUUAACACUAAAACGCUUUUCUUAGGAAAAAAGAAAGAUUUUAACCAGAAAUUAUAACAAAGAAAGAAGAAUAUAUUAUUAUUACAUAUAUACAGUUACAAAAUGAAUUUUGACCGUUCCAUUGUUCUAAUUAUGCGCGACUCUAUCAUUCUGCAAUUUGAAAUACAUAAAUUGAUAACUAUAAAUUACAUGUAUAUAAUUGAACAUAGUGGUUGUCACGUUGUAGACGCCAAAGUGAAAUAAAAUGUUAGGACGAAAGAUAAUGUAUUUUUUUCUUUCGUAAAAGUAGUAUUAUAGAAUAAAGGCAUUAAACAAGAAAAGACAUCAUUGGUUUAAUAAAAAACACCAUUUAAUAACGGUAUAACUGUCACCAAACUAACUUUUUAUACAGACAAUAGGCAAGCAUGCAGAAUGAAAAGGCUCUCUUUUCUUUUAUUUAUUGUUAAUCAAUUAAGAAAAGUUACAUGGACCAGAGAUUCUAAAUGUUUAAAUACUAAACAAAAAUCAUAUUAUAAACUUCAAUAAUCAGUAAUAUGUUAUAAACUAUUCAUCUAUUUUGGGCAGGACUUAAUUCUAAAAUUUCUAUUUCAAUCUUUCUUUAAUAAGCAACUUUUUACGUAUAUAUAUAUAUAUAUAUAUAUAUAUAUAUAUAGGAGAUGACUGUGUAUCCAUUCAAACCGGCUCCUCCAAUGUACAUAUUCACCACAUCAAUUGUGGCCCUGGCCAUGGCAUUAGGUAUAUGUAUACAUAAUAAUAAAUUUUCAAUUAAUUUUCAAUCUAUUACUUUUUCAAUUUUUUACUGAUUUUUUUUGUUUGUUUGGUGUAUAUUUGCUUUGGUUUGUGAUCACAGCAUAGGUGGACUAGGGAAAGAUAAGAGUGUGGCAUGUGUUUCUGAUAUCAUUGUAGAGGAUAUCUCUAUACAAAACACUCUUGCUGGUGUUCGAAUCAAGACUUGGCAGGUACAUAUAUAGAUACCACAUCAUACCUUAUAUAAAUAAAUGAUUUUGUGACUUCUGACCCACGUAAAUAUAGAGACCACAUUAUAUGAUAUUAUUGAAAUAUAUAAAACUAAAACUAAAAGAUAGAAAUGAGACCUUAUAUGAAUAGUUGUAAUUUCUGAGAAAACUUAACACGCAAGUCUUUCUACGUAUAGGGGCCUAAUCUGGCUUUAUGUUCAAUUUUUUUUUGUUAUAAUAUAAACUAAUCACGUUUGUGUAUGGUUUAGUUCGGAUUUAUUUUUCGAUGUCCAUUGUAAUUUUUCUUGUGAAUCACGUGUAUAUAUGUAUCCGCAGGGAGGAUUAGGGGUCGUCAAGAACCUAACGUUUUCGAACAUUCAAGUAAAGGACGUGAAGGUACCAAUAGUAAUCGACCAAUAUUACUGCGACAAGUCCAAGUGUAAGAAUCAGACGCGUGCAGUGUCGAUUUCCGGCGUUAAAUACAACAACAUUGUCGGUAGUUUCACGGUGCAACCGGUACGUAUUGCAUGCAGCAACAACGUGCCAUGCAUGGACGUGGAUCUUAUGGAUAUAAGGCUACGACCUUCUGGAGGAAUCAGAGGGUUACAAACUCAUCAGCAACAACAAGCUUUGUGUUGGAACUCAUAUGGCAAAACACAAGGGCCUUUGGUUCCUUCUAGCAUUGGCUAUUGCUUGAGGAAGAGUAAUAUUGGUGGUUAUUAUUCACAAAAAGUUUCUCGGUCCUAUGACAAGAUUUGCCCUUCAUAAAACCUUAAAUAAAAAACUAAUAUCAGUAAUGCUACCGAUUCUAGGUAUCUAUGUUUACUAUAUUUGCUAUUUAAUUUGUGUUUAUUUUGGGAUGUCAUGAUGUAUCCUUUUGCUUCCCCUCUGCAACUUUUUGUGGAUGUGAGAAGGUGGUGGCUUUUGUAUCAGCUUUUUAUUUUGUUCCAUAGUGUUAUGAUGUAUCACCCCAAUCUCAGAAGUUUAAGAUUACUUUCACAUAUUGCUUGUAACAUUUAUUUAAUAUUAAUGUUAUUUUUUAGCUUCGUUUCUAAUUCACCAUCUAAAUUUAGUCCAGUGGAGUUUGGUAUAUAAAUUGAAGGGAACUGAUUUAAUGUCCAAUUCUUUUUUAGGAUUUGUAACAUGCAUCUUGGUUAAGCUUUUUUAAUCGUUUAUUAAUAUGCUAGUUGAUAUCUAAAAAGAAUUAACAAGACUGUAAAUUGAUUAGUGUGCAAGCUUUUCUUUUUAUAAUAGCAAGUUGAUCAUUUAUGAACGAAGAAAAGAAAACUAGAAAAUGCUUCAACAAAAAUAUGAACGUAUGAACUUUUAAUUUCCUUAAAAGCUACAAACAAAAGAGAGUCUUAUAAAUAAUUUCUUAGUGGAGUUCAAACCAACAGCUGAUACUACUUUGCCUUUGGUGGAAAGGCCACAUUCUCUAUAUGAUAAUGCUACUAACUACGAAACCUAACUUUUAACAGUAUAACAAUAAUUAUCCAUCAAUCACAAUAUGGAUUGCGUAUUAGAAAACUUAUAAAAUACAUACUUAUGUGUGAGCAAAUUCUCUCCGUGAGCAAAUUCUUAGUGUCGACUAUUAACAAAUAAAUAAAUAAAUAGUUAUAUACAAAUUUAAUUUGAAUGAUAUUUUUAAUAUUCCGAUCGCUACAAGAAAAGAGUCAUAUUGCAACAUAACUUCGCGAAGUUAAAAUUAGACAGAAUAUUAAACUAAGAAAAUUUAUGACUAUGAAUGUAAAGCUCAUAACUCGACUCGAAUAAUGGGGAGAUAAAUAUUUGAGCAUUUGAAGGUGGAUUAAAUCUACAUAUUUAUGAUUACGAAAGUCAUGAGUAUUGAGUAAUGUGAGAGACAUAGAGUGUCUUCACCGUCCAUUUAGGCUCUCUCUCUUUAAUCAAAAUCUAUGUCGCACGCGUAUGUCAUAUGUAUAUCUUUUUUUUUUUUUUUUCUUUUAAAUCCAGGAAGUUUUGUGCCGAAGCCCGUAAUCCCCUAGGUCCGAAACCACAAUAUGCAAUAUUAGUUUCGUUCCAAACGUCACGCGAACCGGCGAUCUCUAAGUUUCGCCUAGGGUCUUUACCAAUUGAGCUAACGACACUUGGUCAUAUGUAUAUCUUUUAUCAAAAUCAAUAUCUCUUUUCCCUAUUUUCCUUUUUCUUCCCUAUAUAUUCCAAACAUUAUUAUACAUAUAUACUUUUCUACUAUUAAUUAGUUAAAGACUUGGGUACAUAUAGUUUAUAAUUUAGGAGUUCACUUUUGAAACGCAACUUCUUAUAACAUGGAGGAACAUAUAUGAUUAUUUCUUCUAUUCAUAAUGAAGAACUUUUUUUUACUUUCAACACGUAUUAUUGCAAGGAAAUAAAACAUGAAAGAUUCUUAGAGCAUCUCCAAUAGUGGCUAAAUUGGAUUCUCUCAAGUGGUUCUCUGAAAAAAAAUGGUUCAAAAAUAAAUCAAAAUAAUGUAUUAUCAAGAGAGACAGCUCUCUUGAGAGAUUUUUUGAGAAGGAAGAGAGGCGAUAACGUGGCGCAUUCUGAUUGAUCGAGUUUUAGAAGAAAAAAAAGAGAGAAAAAAACUUGUGAAAAAAGUCCAAACAGUUCUUCUUUCUCCGACUCAUUCUCUCUCUCUUUGCCACAACAGGCGAUGGCGAUGGAGAUCGAUUUUCUCCGACGACGAUUGAGGUUACAAUUGAGAAUCUUCUUCUCUGAUCGUUUAGAUUGAUUUUGAAUUUUGUAACUUGUUAUGUAAUUUAGUUUCUCUUUAGAUUUUCUUCGGAUCAUUUUUUAUAAAGAGAUUCAUGAAAUUAGCCUUGAUGCCGUUUUUGUUAAUCUGUCUGAUCAAUGUCUUGAAUUGGAGUCUGAUUUUGCGGUUGAUUGACUCUAAUUUUUGUUUUCGUUUAUUUCCACUGAAUUUGUGGUUAGUGAUUGACUCUUAGUUGUACCUUCUUAUCUUUUGGUUUUUUCUUGUAUGUUAAUAUAGAAAGACUUGAACUUUGAUCAUUUGCUUGAUUACAGGUUGAGAUCAGAUAAUUUAAUUGGAAGAUUUUAAGUUAUGGAUAACAGAGGUCAGAAACGAUGGAGGUUGUGGAAGAGUUACAUGAUGAUAAGAGAGCUUGUAACUCUCAGGAUUUCAGGCUAAAGACUUUUGAUUAUUGAGUACUUGGACGUUUGCUGAGCAGGUACGUUAUACUUUCCACCAAAUGACCUUAUUCUUUACACCUAAAGAACGCAAGUUUUGAUUUCAUACUAACUAUUGAAUUUUCUAGUGUUUGCAAACACUUGAGAAAAUAUCCUGACAUGAGCCGGUAGCCUGCUUGAAUGCUGGAGCAAUUAUGGCAGUGCUUUCGUUUAUUGAUUUCUUCUCAACAAGCAUACAAGUUACUCAUCCCAAAUAAAUAGCCUUGCUAAGACAGAUGGUUUUAACAUCGCAUUUGCUUCAGAGAGUCGCAAUUUCUACUGUGGUCAAUAUAUGUAAGCAGCUUUUUUCUGAGUCUCUCUCGCCUUUCAUGGAUGUUGUUCCAAUAUUAUGCACUCUUCUUCAAUAUGAGGAUAGUUAGGUAAAAUGAUGCUCAACUCUUUUGCUGCUUUUUCUCACUGAACUAAUUUUCUUCAGUAAAUUAUUGAUAGCAUAUAUGUUUCCAUUUGCAGCUGGUUGAGAAUGUGGCUAUUUGCUUGACAAAAAUAGCAGACCAAGUUAGUGAGUGACCGGCAAUGUUGGAUCAAUUAAGGAGAAUAGUAGUGUUUUGAACUUGGAGAUAUUGAAUGAUUUGAUUGCCUUGUUUGGGAAACUUGGUUAAUCCAAUAAUUUUUCUAAAAACCGCAUUAGAGAGAACCUAGCAUUGGACUGGAAAAAAAACUUACAAGCUUUCAUUUCACAAUUUUACAAAAUUUAUAUUAAACAAUUGGUGAGAGCCCCCAUGGAGUUCUCACCAUUGGAGAUGCUCUUAAAGGUCCAAACAUACUCUGGUUUCUGGUCUAAAGAAAUGAUUUACAGUUCUAAAGUUUCUGGUAAUCGAAAAAGUUAUAUAUACACACUAUAAAAGAUUUUGUUUUUUUGUCAAAGAUAAAAUAUUUAUUUUAUUAUUUCAUCAAAUAUCAAAAAAGUUAUAUAUACACACUUUGAUAAAAUAUCAAAGAUAAUUUAUUUUUUUAAAUAUAUAUUUUUGAAACACUUAGUUUGAGUCUUUCCAACCUAUUUAUCUAUACUUGCUUUUUUUUUUAAGGAGUUUUUCACGUGGAAUCUAAGCCCAUAUUGUAUAAUGGGUUUUUCACGUUGAAUCUAAGUCCAAACAAUUUUUUUUUUUUUUUUUUUUUUUGCUAAGCUUGUAAAUAUCAUUAGAAAUGAAAGUGAAGGAAUUACAGAAGCAACACCUAAAGAAGAGUAAUCUUGGAAAAAAAAAGAGUAAAAAACAAGAUUACAAUAAGGCUAAAGUGAGAUACAAUUAUCUAAUCCAAAGGAGCAAGAGCGGACGCCAACGCUUCUUAUGACGUCUUCCGGAAAUGAUGUUGCGGACUUGACGAUCAACGAGCUUGAAGGUUCCAGAGGCAGUGAUCCAAAGGUUGUUGUGAAGGUAGUUAUUACGCUGAUGCCAAAUAUGAUAAGAUACGGCUUGAGAAACCACCUUGCGAAGCAGAGAGGGGGCGGAAGAGGUUGAAUGGCGAGUCCAAGAAAGCAGCUCGGCCCAAGUUAGCAGCUGCCGAUGAGAUGGCGAAAGUCUUCGAAAAACCUGAGUCCAAAUUGACGCAGCAAACUCGCAAGUCAAAAGAAGAUGGUCCCGUGAUUCCGGUAGAGUAGAGCAAAGACAACAACUAGCAUCAGAAAUAACUCCCCAUGAAAGCAGGCGUUGCCUAGUCGGGAGGCGAUUAAGAGUAGUAAGCCACAUGUUGAAAGCAUGUUUUGGGACUGCACCCUUAAACCAAACAGAGCUUGCCCACCGUUUAAUCUCCUCCCUAGGCCUCAGCGAUUCCCAAGUCUUGGAAGAGGAAAGAUCCAAACACUCAGAAUCGUCAACAACCCAAGCAUAGUUAUCCUUCUCAAGGGUUGAGCUUGGAAGGUUAAUAGUGAUCAGAUGAGAGUGGAAGAUUAGAGCAUUGUCUGAUCUUGGAGGCGGGAUAAUCCAACCUAUAUCACCACAAGCAUCACUAACCUUUGAAGCAGCUGGGAUACACAAAGAGGAAGGCCCCGCUUUUCCUAAGAACUUGAUUAAUUGAACACAAGGGGUCCAGUUGUCGUACCAAAAGGAAAUCAUUUGACCAUUUUCAACUCUUGCCUUUAGGAACCUUUCACCAAGAGGUCUUAACCGAAGCAGCGUCCUCCAGGUCCAAGGGUCCCGGGGGCUCUCCUCUAGUUCCCAAAACGACUUAUUUUUAAUAUGGUGAAAUUUAUGUCAAUUCGCCCAAAGCACGUCAUUAUCUGCAAAUAAGGGCCAAAUAAAGCGAAGAUAAAAAGUUUUGUUCCAUGGCGUGAACCUGCGUAAGCCAACACCACCUUCAUUCUUUGGUAAACAGACACCUGACCAUGCAAUCUUUGCUCCCUUACUAGCAUCAAUGCUGCCAGACCACAAAAAUCUAGAACAAAGAGACUCAAUCUUUUUCACGCAGCCAAGAAGAAGAACAAAAGUCGACAUCCAGAAGUUGACAAGACCCGUAAUGACAGAGGUGAUCAGCUGAACCCGACCAGCAAAAGAAAGGCUCUUAACCGCCCAGGAUCUAAACCUUUUAACAAGCUCAUACUCUGAAAUUUUAAGUUUCCUACUCAUCAGCGGGAGCCCAAGAUAACGAAUUGGCAAAGUGCUGAUUGGGAAGCCGUAGUGCGAAAUGGCAAGAGCCUCAACCUCAUCAGUUCCAGCCAGAUACAAAUUUGUCUUAUCUUUGUUCACAUGCAGCCCCGACCAAGAGGCGAAGUCAUCAAGAGCUUCACUGAUCCCAUGUAGAGAGGAGCUUCCCCCAUCGAAAAAAACCAUAACAUCAUCUGCAAACAUUAGGUGAGAGAUUGAGAGAUCAGCGGUUUUAGGAUGGUAGUGGAUAUAACCCGCAUCAAACCUAGCUUUCAGCAAGCUAGAGAACACCUCCAUCGCAAGAACAAAUAAGUACGGCGAUAAAGGAUCACCUUGUCUCAACCCUUUGUUACUUUUAAAAAACCCACUGCUAGAACCAUUAACCAUGACUGAAAAAUAGGGCGUUGAAAUGCACUGAUUGAUCCAGCAAACAAACUUUUCAGGGACUGCGAGAGCACGGAAGGCUGAGAUGAUGAAAUCCCAUCUGACGCUAUCAAACGCUUUCCGAAGAUCCACUUUAAGCAUACCCCGAGAGCUGAUAUUUUUAGUGUUGUAACCAUGCACAAUUUCAGUAGCUAACAAGACGUUUUCCGAAAGUAAACGACCAGGAAGGAACGCAGACUGAGACGGAGAAAUCACCUCAUUUAAAAGCUUCUUUAGCCUAGAAGUCAGCAGCUUAGCUAUCACUUUAUACAAAGUGUUUAAGCAAGAGAUUGGCCUAAAGUCAGUCAUCUUUGAAGAGUUUGUGAUUUUUGGAAUAAGGACCAAAGUUGUUGCGUUCCACUGCUUCAAUAACUGACCUGAACGAAAAAAUUCUUGGACUGCUUCAGUCACCUCUGGACCCACAACAAACCAAACACCUUUAAAGAACUCAGAGGAAUAGCCGUCAGGGCCGCUAGCUUUGUUCCUGGGCAAAGAGAAGAAAGCCUCUUGAAUAUCAAGAUCCGAGAAACUCCUUUCCAAGUCAUUAAUCUGAUCCACAGAACAUCUGAAAGAAAGAAGCAGAUUCAUAUCACUCUGUGCCAAAGAGUUCUCGCCCUCUACACCACAUAGGAGGGAUUCAAAAAAAUUACAGCUAUGCUCCUUUAUGCCCUCCUUUAUGCCCUGCUGGGUCUCAAUCCUUUCACCAAAAUCAUCAAUCAAGAAAUUUAUUGUAUUAAUCGAUUUACGCAUGUCAGCCAUCUUAUGAAAGUAAGCAGUAUUAUUAUCACCCUCAUAUAACCAAGAGAUACUUGACUUCUGGCAGAAAAAACUCUCCUCAGCCUUAGCAAGAAUUUGCCAUUUUCUGGUGGCCUCCAACUCAAGUGUAGCAUGAACAACAGAAGGGUUGGUAAGAGUAAUCCUUUGACGGUGGAGCACAAUAGCAUGGGCCUCAGAGACCCUUUUCUCAAUAUCAGAGUAGUUCUCUCUACUAAAACAACAAAUAGGGAGCUUAAGGUGCUUAAGCUUUUUGGAGACCCUGUACAUCGCAGAACCAGAGACAUUGCAAGAGUACCAAUUCUCACGAAUCAGCUGCAAGAAAUCCGGGUUAUGUAAGAAAUAGUUGAAGAACCGAAAAGGUCGCUUUGCUUUCAAGACCGCUGGAUCUAACACCACCUCACAAGAGCUGUGGUCAGAGAAAUCUGGCUCACCGAAGUUCGCGUAAGCGGAUGGGAAGAGAGUGUUCCAAUGAUCAUUGACCAAAAUUCUAUCUAUCUUUUUUGCCAAAGGUCUAGAGCUGCACUUAUUCCACCAAGUGUAAGAACUACCUUUGUAGACGAGGUCAUACAAAUCAGAAUCAAGCAAGCAACUUCUGAACGCACGAAUCUUCCUGCCAAUAUUUGCAUUGAUAGCACUUUCCGGAUUUAAGAUUUGAUUAAAGUCGCCAAGAACAAUCCACGACCUGCCAACAACAACCGGAGAUAAGGCAAGCUGAACCAACUCAUUCCAAAGCUCUUUUCUGGUACCCUCCUCAUUUGAAGCGUAAACAAUAGACACCACAAACCAAGAAGGAGAAUCAGGAAGAAGAAGCUCACAUGUGAUCAUUUGCAGGGACCUACCAAUAACAACUACCUUCACACUUGGAUCCCACAAAACCCAUAUUUUUCCCAAAACAGAGAAUUCAUAAUUCUCAACAAAAGACCAGCCAGGCAAAAGGUUAGAGAUGAACUUCUUCUCCUUAGGCUGCUUUACAUGUGUCUCAAUGAGACCUCCAAAAAGUGGUUUAUUCAAAAGAAACCAUUUCUUAAAACCGCGGCGGUGACUGGAAAUAUUAAAUCCGCGAACAUUCCAACAAAAGAGCUUAGUACACAUACUUAAGCUUUGGUUUUGAGGCCCUUGCCUCGUAGAUUCCUCUUCUGACGCUUAGACAAAACCUUGAUGAAAGCCUCUUCUUCAGUGUCAGUAGAUAACACGUCAGAGGAAUCAUCCUCAACUGCACAAACUGUGCCUGAACAAAUGCCAACCUCCUCAUUUUCAGUUGCAUUAUCAAUGAUUACAGCAAACUGUCCAACACUUGAAUCUCCUUUCUGGACCUUAUCCAAACCGAGAGAGAUCCCAUUGGUCUGAACUGAAAUAGACCCAAAAACACUAUCUUCAACCUUAAGAGACUUGGACUUAGCCACAUUCUUCACAGACCAAACUAAGCCACCAUCUUCCUUUCCUUUGACAGGGAGCCGAGUUUGAGUCUCUUGACCCAGAGAAGCUUCACAGACCAAACUAAGUCCAAAUAAUAAAAUCAGUAAUUUAUCAAAUUGAACUUUUUUUCUCCAUCUUAUACUUAUUAUUUAUUGUAAAUUAUGAGAAUUAUUAAACAGACGUAUGGGCUUAGGUUCCUUCGGACAGACGAUAUUUCUUUCUCGACACUUCCUUCUUCUUCUCCAUGUUUUUGAUGAACACCUUUAAUGAUCUUUUUUGCGUAGAAUCCUGGCGAACGGCUAUAAUUGUAUAAUCGUUGGAGAUCUCCUAAUAAAUCACAGUAUCUGAGAUUCGAAUUCCAAAUCCCUAGGUGUAUUAAUGAACAUUUGGUCAACCAAACCAAUGUACCACCAAAGGGGCUUACACGAACUUUACUUUUCUUUAGGAAGAAAAAUAAAAGUCAGUUCAAAAAAAUACAUUGUCCGUUUAUAAUGGGCUUUUAACGUUAAAGCCAAGCCCAUAAUGAUACAUGACAGCCCAUUCAUUUUAGUACUCUAAUUUGGGGUGAAUAAUCCGUCCCGCGUUAAAAAACACAGAAUCAAAAUUACUUCAUAUCUUCUUCACGUGAGAGUCACGUGUUCGGUAAAAGUGGUUGAAAGUUGAAACCCAUUGGGGAACAAAAACCUAAAGGAGUCUCAUUUCUGCUGGGUCGAGAAAUCGCUGAUAGAGAGUAGAGAGACACACGCAGGUACGUGAAUCUUCGCGACUUCGAUCUCUUUGUGUAUCAAAUCAAUCCGUUCUUGUUAAAGUUUUCAUUUUUAAUCUUCCAAUUUCAAUCUGGGUCUACUUAAAUCAAUCGAAAUCUCAAUUUCAAGCUGAUUCUUAUAAAGUUUCGAUUUUUCUUGCUGUUUUAGAUUUUGAGCUGCGUGCUCUGUUUUAAGCUUGAAGGAGGAAAAACAUGGCAGACCAAGAAUCAGAUAAGAACAUUGAGAUUUGGAAGAUUAAGAAGCUAAUCAAAGGACUUGAAACCGCAAGAGGUAAUGGAACAAGUAUGAUCUCUCUUAUAAUGCCUCCUAGAGAUCAAGUAGCUCGUGUCACUAAGAUGCUUGCUGAUGAAUACGGAACCGCCUCAAACAUCAAGAGUCGAGUGAAUCGUCAAUCUGUUUUAUCUGCCAUUACUUCUGCUCAACAAAGAUUGAAGCUUUACAACAAAGUUCCUCCGAAUGGUCUUGUUCUCUAUACUGGAACCAUUGUUACUGAUGAUGGUAAAGAGAAGAAAGUGACGAUUGAUUUCGAGCCUUUUAAACCGAUUAAUGCUUCGUUGUAUUUGUGUGACAAUAAGUUCCACACCGAGCCUUUGAAUGAGCUUUUGGAGUCUGAUGAUAAGUUUGGUUUCAUUGUUAUGGAUGGAAAUGGAACUUUGUUUGGUACUUUGAGUGGGAAUACAAGAGAGGUUCUUCAUAAGUUCACUGUCGAUCUUCCGAAAAAGCACGGAAGAGGAGGACAAUCUGCGUUGCGAUUUGCUCGUCUUAGGAUGGAGAAGAGACAUAACUAUGUGAGGAAAACCGCGGAGCUUGCCACUCAGUUUUACAUUAAUCCAGCUACGAGUCAGCCUAAUGUCUCUGGUCUUAUACUUGCUGGUUCAGCGGAUUUUAAGACCGAGCUAAGUCAAUCAGAACUGUUUGAUCCUCGUCUUCAAGCUAAGAUAUUGAAUGUGGUUGAUGUUUCUUACGGAGGAGAGAAUGGUUUCAACCAAGCAAUUGAGCUGUCUGCUGAGAUUCUAUCUAAUGUGAAGUUCAUACAAGAAAAGAAAUUGAUUGGGAAGUACUUUGAGGAGAUUAGUCAAGACACUGGGAAAUAUGUUUUCGGUGUUGAAGAUACUUUAAAGGCUCUGGAAAUGGGUGCUGUUGAGACUCUUAUAGUGUGGGAGAAUCUAGAUAUUAAUAGGUAUGAGUUAAAGAACAACACGACCGGAGAAAUCGUGAUUAAGCAUUUGGGAAAGGAUCAAGAGAACAACCAAAGCAAUUUCCAUGAUGCAGAGACUAAUGCAGAGUUAGAAGUUCAGGAGAAGAUGCCUCUGCUUGAAUGGUUUGCUAACGAAUAUAAACGUUUUGGUUGUACACUUGAGUUUGUGACUAACAAGUCCCAAGAAGGAUCACAAUUUUGCAGAGGCUUUGGCGGUAUUGGUGGAUUGUUGCGGUACCAGCUUGAUAUGAGGACAUUCGAUGAAUUAUCCGAUGGUGAAGUUUAUGAAGACUCAGAUUAAGUAAGAGAAAAUGUGGUUUAAGAUCUGAAGAAGGAUUUGAAGUUUGGGGAAAAAAAGAAAGACUAUGAACUUUUGUUUGAUAUACUUUGUCUCUCUCUAUUAUCUUCUGUUGCCGCUUUUAAGUUUUUCUGAAACAGUUAUGUUAAAAUGUAUGAGAAAUUUGAGCUUCAUUAUACUCUAUUUUGAAGACAUUUCUUAUUGCCUAUUUGAGAAUUAGCUAAACAUUAAUAUUGCCUUAACAGUAAUGUUAACGGUAAUAUAAAGUCUAAUUAGUCUAAGUGAGAAUCAACAUAAAUAGUCUUACCUUAAGUAAAUGUUCUCAAAUUUCAGAAACUGGAAACUAGCCGUUUGAUUAUUGGAAAAGAAAGGAAACGAAAAGGAAUACAAAUAGCUAAAUCUUUGUGUAAGAUUUCACAAUCUCUUCUUUUGUGUUAUUUGUUUAUAUUUGUGUCUGAGAAAAUCUGAGAUGAAUCCAAAAAGAUGUGCAGCUUGCAAGUAUCUGAGAAGAAGAUGUCCAAAAGAUUGCGUAUUCUCACCAUAUUUCCCUCCAAACGAUCCUCAAAAAUUUGCAUGUGUCCACAGAAUCUAUGGUGCUGGAAACGUUUCCAAAAUGCUUCAGGUAUAUAUAUCUAUACACAUCUUUGUGUAUCUUCUUCUAAUAUCCUAUUUAAGAUCACACUUUAUGCAUAUAUAUAAGUAAGUGUAUUCAUGGUUGGAUUUUGGUGAUCUUUUUGACAGCAACUUCCUGAUCAGACAAGAGCUGAAGCAGUGGAAUCUUUGUGCUUUGAAGCAAAAUGCAGAGUAGAUGAUCCUGUUUAUGGUUGUGUUGGCAUUAUUCAUUUACUUAAAACUCAGAUUCAGAAAACUCAGAAUGAAUUAGCCAAAACUCAAGCUGAGAUUGCUGUUGCUCAAACCAAACUUAGCCAAACCCAUAUUUCUGAUUUUAUGUAAUAUCUCUCAGUUUCAACAAUAAAUUCUCCUCUGCAUUUUCGUUUCCGAUUGCUUCUACUUAUAAGAUAGUGAUCUUCUUUAACUUUAACUAUAUCAGACUCAUAAUCAAGAGGCCAUUAGCUAUACUAAAAAAGUGUUUCAUAAAACACAAAUGUAAACAAGUUCGAAUCGAGUUUAUUAUUAUCACAAAUCCAUAACUAAAGGGUGACAAUUAUACAGUCUUGAGUCUCUUGGCCGAUAUUUUGAGAAUCAUAAUGUAAAAAGAUAAAUGAAUCUGUUUACAAAAUACAUGACACUAUUACAAAUCGAAUUUACUAUUUUCCCUGCUUAAGCUCCCAUUCCUUUUACAAGUACAUGACAUUACACUACUUUUGAAGGAGCUUUUCUUGUAUAGUUACAAAGAUGAUCAAUGAAUCUGUUUAAUAGACGAAAAUAUAUAUGUCAAGAGACACUGAACCUUCAAAAUCGGCCUGUAUCCCACUUGGUGAACAUAAUUUGAUGUUGGCUCGGAGUUUCGUUCGUUUCAUUCAUUCCAUCCGUGUAUUCAUUACCAAAUGAAGAAUUGAAGUCUGGAUCAGAAUCCAUGGAUUCAACCAAGUUUGAAGCUUUCUCCACCUCAAGGGCUUGCUCCAACAAUUGGAUCAUACAAGCAUUAUGUUCUCGAAUAGGUGAGAUACCGUAAACUUGGAUCAUCCGAGUAAAGUACCUCAAACCAUCCUUUACAUUUCCAGUAUUCGCACAAGCGGAUAAGACACCAACGAAAGUGAUAGCGUCUGGUUCUACGCUUGCUUCUUCUUCCAUCUCUUCAAACAGAGACAAAGCCUCUUCACCACAUCCAUGUACCCCUAAGCUAGUGAUCAUCGAGUUCCAAGUCGCUAAACUCUUACCCUGCAUCACGUCAAAUACUUUCCUUGCGUCCUGCAAGCUUCCACAUUUGCUAUACAUAUCGAUCAAAGCGGUUCCAAGGAAACAAUCAAGCACAAAACCGUUUUUAUGAGCAUAGUCAUGAACCCAUCUUCCCAUAGACAAGCUUCCUAACUGAGUAGAAGCUUGCAACAAAUUAACAAUCGUAAACUCAUUAGGCUUGACAUCAUCAACCUGCAUUCUCCUAAAGAGCUGAAACGCCUCGUCGGGUCUACGGUUCUUAACGUAAGCCGUAAUCAUUGCAGUCCAUGAAACAACGUUUCUCAUUGGCAUUUGAUUGAAUACAAUCUCUGCAGAAUCUAACUGAGAAUUGGAGACAAGACCAUAAAGCAUAGUAGUCCAUGAAACAAUACUUCUCCCAGGCAUUUUAUCAAACACCUUACGUCCACUAUCUGGUUUCCCACACUUAAAGUAAAGAUCCAUGAGAGUGUUUUGGAAGAAGACAUCAUUAAAAAACCCAGCUUUAAUAGCUAAACCAUGAACUUGGGUACCUAAACGAAUCGACGAAGAAGCGAGACAAGCUUUGAUAACAAAAGGGAAAGUGAAUUUAUCAAACUGGGAUUGAUGAGAGAUCAUCAUAAGGAUAAAGAGAAGAAGAGCUUCACGAGGUUUGUGAUUAACAGAGAGAGAUCUUAUCAUAAGGUUCCAGGUAAAAGUAGAAGGAGAUUGAAGUUGAUUAAAGACGAGAGAAGCGUAUUGGGUUUCUCCGAAGGAAGAAGAAACACUUAUGAGCUGACGAACUAGUAACUGAUCGUUGGUGAGAUUGUGUUUGAUGAUUUUGGUGUGAAUUUGUUUCAAUUGAGAGAAAUUUGAACAAGUUCGGAGAAAGUAAGAAGCUUCGGGAGAUCGGAAUGGUGGAGGAGAGAGGAGGUUUGGUGGUGAAGACGGCGACGGAGCCGCCAUGGAUUAACGAUAAAUCACCAAAUUCUCACAUUCACUCUUUCCUCGAUUGAUCGUGUGUGGAUGAUGAUGAAGCUGCAUAUAAACCGAACUAAACCGAAGUUUGGCUGAUUUGGUUCGGAUUCGGUUUAUUGUGUAGCAAGAGGAAGCAUAACCAGAUUGAUUCGACUAGGAACCACUAAACCAAACGAAAUACAGAAAUUUCGAACCAAACCGGAUCGAUUCUACGUGUAUUAAACGUCGUCGUUUUUGUUAGCUAAAAAGAAGAAAUAGUAAAUAUCCAUUAGAAGAAGAAGACGAAGCAGAGGAAUCUAGGGUUUAUGCUACAUUGAAGCAAAGAUGGUUACGAGCAGCGAUCAAAUCCAAAAUGGUUCUGAAGAGCAAUCAAAAAGAUCAGAGAUUUACACAUACGAAGCACCAUGGCAGAUCUACGCAAUGAACUGGAGCAUUCGUCGAGACAAGAAGUAUCGGCUCGCAAUCACAAGCCUCAUCGAGCAAUAUCCGAAUCGCGUCGAAAUUGUUCAGCUUGAUGAAUCAAAUGGUGAGAUUCGUUCAGAUCCAAAUCUCUGCUUCGAACAUCCUUACCCACCAACGAAAACCAGUUUCAUACCCGAUAAAGAAUGUCAAAGACCCGAUCUUUUAGCUACUUCUAGUGAUUUCCUUCGUUUAUGGCGAAUCUCUGAUGAUGAAUCUCGUGUUGAGCUUAAGUCUUGUCUUAGUAGUGAUAAGAAUAGUGAGUUUAGUGGUCCAAUCACUUCAUUUGAUUGGAAUGAAGCUGAGCCUAGACGAAUUGGUACUUCUAGUAUUGAUACCACUUGUACUAUUUGGGAUAUAGAGCGUGAAGUUGUUGAUACCCAGCUUAUUGCUCAUGAUAAAGAGGUUUAUGACAUUGCUUGGGGUGGUGUUGGUGUCUUUGCCUCUGUCUCAGAGGAUGGUUCCGUUAGAGUGUUUGAUCUCCGUGAUAAGGAGCAUUCGACGAUUAUCUACGAGAGUGGUGAGCCUAGUACUCCUUUGGUGCGACUUAGUUGGAACAAGCAGGAUCCGAGGUAUAUGGCUACUGUUAUCAUGGGCAGUGCUAAAAUUGUUGUGUUGGAUAUUCGGUUUCCGGCUCUUCCUGUCGUGGAGCUUCAGCGACAUCAGGCUAGUGUCAAUGCUAUAGCUUGGGCUCCUCAUAGCUCUUCCCAUAUCUGCUCCGCUGGAGAUGAUUCUCAGGCGUUGAUUUGGGAUAUAUCUUCCAUGGGACAGCAUGUUGAAGGUGGUCUGGAUCCGAUUCUAGCUUACACAGCCGGCGCUGAGGUUGAGCAGCUUCAGUGGUCAUCUUCUCAGCCUGAUUGGGUUGCCAUUGCCUUCUCUAACAAGCUGCAGAUUCUCCGGGUCUGAUUAUGUUUUACAGAUUUCUGUUGGAUACUUGGAUGUAAAAACUCGUUGCUAUUGUUGAUUAAUGAUCUUUUGAUCUCUGACUCUAAGCCUCAUUGAGUUUCCUUUCAUAGUAUGGUCUGUGUAGGAACUAUGUACCUUCAAAAUUGUGAAUAACUAGCUUUAGCAUUGGAUUUGAUUAGACGUAUGGAAGUUAGUUUUGAACAGAGAGCAUGUGACAUAACGGGGAACUUGAAGUAGAUUAUGACUAACACCAGCAUUUAUGUUUCUCUGCCCUCGAGCUGAUGGAGUUGCAGGAUUUUGUCUGCCUCACCAUCGUAUGGAAUGUGUAGCUUUCUAUGGUAGUUGUUAUAAGUUUUGUCUCCAUUGUCCAUAUCACUUUAUGGGUAUGUAGAUUUGUGAAAUUAGGCAUUUGUAACAUCGUACAGAUGAUGUAUUCUUCAUUACUUCAAUACAGGCAUAUAGACUCUCUGUCCAACUUAAAAGGCAUACAAGGUCUGUGGUUUACCAAAAUCAGCUUUACUAAAUCCUUUGGCCAAUAUUCUCUCAGCCAGUCCUAAGAACCUCUGCUCUAAAAAGUCUUAGCUUUGAAAGUCAGACAAAUGGAGAGCAGCCUUAUCCUCCUUUUAUAACCGUGACCACACACACAAAUGAAGAAGCCCAAAUGAAAGGCCCAAAAAUCUAAAAAAUAGGUGAAGGAGGGACUUUGUGAAUAUGUGAUCAUAGAAACAUGAAGAGACAAGAGAGUGGUAAAACCACAACCAUAGAAACAAGUAAGAAAGCUAUCCAGAAUCUAAUCUUAUUUGCCUCCAAGUCAUCAAUUCUUUAUCCUAUAUUACUAGUCUCUGCUUCACCAAUCCUUUUUGCUCUCCUGUCUGCUACAAACCUUAACUUGGAUUCUUUCUGGUCACCAUGGCUUCGGUUACUUUCUCUGUCCCCAAGGUACCUUCCUCCUUCUUCUUCUUCUCUUCUUCAGGUCUCUCUUACACAAGUUAACUAAAUGUUGUGUUUUGUUUUCAGGGUUUCACUGAAUUCUCAGGAUUGCGAAGCUCCUCUGCUUCUCUUCCCUUCGGCAAGAAACUUUCUUCCGAUGAGUUCGUUUCCAUCGUCUCCUUCCAGACUUCUGCAGUGAGUUCUCUGUUCUCCUCCAACAUUAUUUGUAGCUUACGUGUUCUUCCUUAUGAUGAUCAUCAACUAUAUGAAAUGUUUGUACCUAUAUGCAUGUCUAUCGAUAAAUCGGAUGAAUUAUGUUUGCUUCUGUUUCUCGCCGGUUUUGUAAACUAUUUGGAUGGUUGUUCUGUUUGUGUAUCAGAUGGGAAGCAGUGGUGGAUACAGGAAAGGUGUGACUGAGGCCAAGCUUAAGGUGGCCAUUAAUGGAUUCGGUAGGAUCGGGAGGAACUUCCUGAGAUGUUGGCAUGGUCGCAAGGACUCUCCUCUUGAUAUCAUUGCCAUUAAUGACACUGGUGGCGUCAAGCAGGCUUCGCAUUUACUUAAAUACGACUCUACUCUCGGAAUCUUUGAUGCUGAUGUCAAACCUUCUGGAGAGACUGCAAUCUCUGUUGAUGGAAAGAUCAUCCAAGUUGUCUCUAACCGAAACCCGUCUCUUCUCCCUUGGAAGUAAGUCGAAAAACCACUUAUGUGAUCAGUCUUUUUAUCUCAAGUCUAGAAUAAGCAUUUGAAUUGGAUAUGGUUGGUAUCUUAGGGAGCUAGGAAUUGACAUUGUCAUCGAAGGAACCGGAGUGUUUGUGGAUAGAGAAGGUGCAGGGAAACACAUUGAAGCUGGUGCCAAGAAGGUUAUCAUUACUGCUCCAGGCAAAGGAGAUAUUCCAACUUAUGUCGUUGGUGUCAAUGCAGAUGCUUACAGUCAUGAUGAACCUAUCAUCAGCAAUGCAUCUUGCACUACCAACUGUCUUGCUCCCUUUGUCAAAGUUCUUGACCAGAAAUUCGGUAUGCAAUCCGUUUUCCGCUUUCGCUUUUCGUGUUCUCUCACGGGAUCAAUGAAACGGGUUUUAAUGUGUUUGUAACAUUGCAGGUAUCAUAAAGGGUACAAUGACGACUACUCACUCUUACACCGGUGACCAGAGGUUGCUAGACGCGAGUCACCGUGAUCUAAGGAGAGCAAGAGCAGCUGCUUUGAACAUUGUUCCUACUUCUACAGGAGCAGCUAAAGCUGUGGCUCUUGUGCUCCCUAACCUCAAAGGAAAACUCAACGGGAUCGCUCUCCGUGUACCAACACCAAACGUAUCAGUGGUUGAUCUCGUUGUGCAGGUCUCAAAGAAGACAUUUGCUGAGGAAGUCAACGCUGCUUUCAGAGAUUCUGCAGAGAAAGAGCUUAAAGGUAUACUCGAUGUCUGCGAUGAGCCACUAGUGUCCGUUGAUUUCAGAUGCUCAGAUUUUUCAACGACCAUUGAUUCAUCACUCACUAUGGUUAUGGGAGAUGAUAUGGUUAAGGUGAUUGCUUGGUAUGAUAAUGAAUGGGGUUACUCACAGAGAGUUGUUGACUUGGCUGACAUUGUUGCCAACAACUGGAAGUGAUUUCAUCAAACUUUGUUUCAUGUUUUUCCAUUUUUUUCUCUUUCUCUUUUUUACAUUAUGGUUCUCAAAAUAUCGGUGAAGACUGUAUAAUUGUAGUAUGGAUUUGUAAUAAAUAAUCAUAAACUAUUCAAACUUGUUUACAUUUUGUGUUUUGUGAUACACUUUUCAGUAUAGCUAAUGGCCUCUUGAUUAUGAUUAUGAGUUUGAUAUAUCAAAGUUAGUUGAAUCUUAUAAGUUACAGGGAAACAAAAAUGCAGAGGAGAUUUUAUUGAUGAAACUGAGAGAUAUUACAUAAAAUCAGAAUUUUGGGUUUGGCUAAGUUUGGUUUGAGCAACAGCAAUCUCAGCUUGAGUUUUGGCUAAUUCAUUCUGAGUUUUCUGAAUCUGAGUUUUAAGUAAAUGAAUAAUGCCAACACAACCAUAAACAGGGUCAUCUACUCUGCAUUUUGCUUCAAAGCACAAAGAUUCCACUGCUUCAGCUCUUGUCUGAUCAGGAAGUUGCUGUCAAAAAGAUCACCAAAAUCCAACCAUGAAUACACUUACUUAUAUAUAUGCAUAAAGUGUGAUCUUAAAUAGGAUAUUAGAAGAAGAUACACAAAGAUGUGUAUACCUGAAGCAUUUUGGAAACGUUUCCAGCACCAUAGAUUCUGUGGACACAUGCAAAUUUUUGAGGAUCGUUUGGAGGGAAAUAUGGUGAGAAUACGCAAUCUUUUGGACAUCUUCUUCUCAGAUACUUGCAAGCUGCACAUCUUUUUGGAUUCAUCUUAGAUUUUCUCAGAAACAAAUAUAAACAAACAACACAAAAGAAGAGAUUGUGAAAUCUUACACAAAGAUUUAGCUAUUUGUAUUCCUUUUCGUUUCCUUUCUUUUCCAAUAAUCAAACGGCUAGUUUCCAGUUUCUGAAAUUUGACAACAUUUACUUAAGGUAAGACUAUUUAUGUUGAUUCUCACUUAGACUAAUUAGACUUUAUAUUACCGUUAACAUUACUGUUAAGGCAACAACAUUCAUGUUCUCUUUAGAGAAAAUAAAUUGCACUACUAGUUAUUAGACGCUAGUUAUAGUGAUCUAAGGAGAGCAAGAGUAGCAGCUGUUUGCAUAUGAUUCUCCAAAUACUGUAUAUAAUUAUAUACCUGAGUUAUGGAUUUGUAAUAAUAAUAUAAACUCGAUUCAAACUUGUUUACAUUUUGUGCUUUAUGAAACACUUUUCACAGGUCUCAAACAAAAAAAUGAAUAUACAGAGAUGUUGUUAUGUAAUACAAUUUGGUUCUUGCAAGAAUACACAAUCGUGGGAUGGUUUCCUAAAAACAGAUUUUGCUACUACAACAUAUGUGAUAAGAGAAGAAUGUGCAUGAGAUUCGGUCUCAUGCUUUCUGUUUUCACUACCUACUUAAGCCUUUGAAGAGAUGGUCUUUUCAAGCAUUCUUGUUCCUUCUUCUUCCAUGGCUAGUUUGCUCCAUCCUGACCCUCUCAUGGACAAAAUCUUUGCCCGUUCGAGUCCGUUUCCUCUAAACCCUGUAAUCUUCGAAGAUACCAUUGGCAUCACUAGAAUCGCAGAUGCAUUUAUAGAGUCUUCACCAAAUCCUAGUGCUGCUAAACAAGCAGUCUGCAACACAAUGAAGUAAAGAGUUUUAAUUAGUACUGUUGAAUAAGCUCACAAAUGAAGAUGGUUCUGCUUGUGGGUACCUUUGUCUUGGCAAUUAAAUCAGCUGCUUUCAUAUACAUUCCUUGUACAACUACUCUUGUGUCUUUGCUGUGUCCAUCUUCAGAUGAUUGUGGUAUCAACCUGUUAUUGAAGAUCAAAAUAGUUAUAGUAGCUAAAUCAUAGAAAACUUCUGAAUUUCUAAUGAGAACACAGUUUUUUACCUGUCCUCCUCAGUUGGCACACUCGAGGACACGAUGGAGUCAAGAGAUGAUGAAUUAUCUUUUGUCUCAUUGCCUCUUGUAUCAUCAGGUGCUAGUAAAGAAAUGCCUAUGAAUACACACAUCAUUCCUAAUAUGAACAUUGUUGUUCUUAGCGCAUCGAAAACCUGUUUAAGGAAGAAGAAAAUUAUCUAAGCGACUAUCCCUAAACCCACACCAUUCUGUGACAAAAUGAUCAAACUAAUCAUCUAGAUCCGUAUUAGCCCGAAGAUAAAGAAAAGAGAGGAAAAGCAUCACAAUGUAGUCAAUAGAUGAACCUGAAACUCUUGAAAGUAAAUGCAUCCUGUACAGAUGGAGAAGAAAGUCCAAGCAAUCUGAAACAUUGGAACUAUGAGAAUUGCAUCAUAUAGAGACAAUCCUUCAUUCAAUCUUGUCAUCUGCAACAGAAGCACAUGAAAGACGUUUUUACUUCAGUAACUAUAUAGUCUCAACGGCACAACAAAGCACCAAAAUAUUUCAGUAGCUUGAGGUUUUUUUUUACCCAGAAUCCGGCUGUACUAAGAAAUAAAAGAAGCAUAGAGUAUGUGAACCAGCUGUGCAGUUGAUAGCUACUAGACAUGGCCAAUCUCAGCAAGUUCGAGCUACAAAACGAAACUCAAAUUUAUCACCUGAAACUAUCUGAUUUUCAAGUAAAGCCUGUAGAUUUGCAAACUCACAGUGACUUGGCAAAUAAAACUGAACAUGAUCCUAUAGCACCCGAGACCACUGCAUAUGAGAAAGGAAGCAGCAUUUUCCAAUAAGAGCUAAUUUCUUGUCCAGGUGUAGAUAUCAAAACUUCUCCCUUCCUGAAUAUUUCGAUUAAACUAAUCACAAAAGAGGUCCCGAUAGUUGAAAAUAGUCAAGGAAGAAUUUCAAAUGCAAGACUCACCUAUAGAGGAAAUGGUGCACGGCUACUAUUAAAAUCAAAAUACCACAGUAGACCAAGAAUGUUACAUUGCUAUAUUUCUCUGCCAACUGUUCGGGUGUGAAAACUGAGCACAGAAGAUUUUUAUUAGGCCACGCUUUGUGAAAAAACGACAGAACAAUCUGUUCAAGAAUAGUUACCUGGUGACUGGUGAUUACCAAAAGCUACAAGGAAAACGUUUCCAAGAACUAUAAAGGCUGUAGCAACGAGUACUCUGUGACCAAGGCAUACUAAAGAUAUUAGAAGAGCAGAGACUUAGUAAAUCGGUAAUGCAUGUUAAAGAUUGCAGCGAGGUAGUUUGCAUACUUGACAGUAACCAUUUUGUUCAAUACAACAUAAGCAAAUGCUAUGUUGGAUACAAAUUGAAUGGAUCCAAGAGCUGCUAGAAGGGACUGCAAAGAGAGUUCAUAACGGUAAGAAAACCAAAGAGAAACCAUAAUGAAACCUGACAAAUCACGCAAGUAGGCAAUGUCGAGCAGAUCAUUCUACCUGAGCAGCAUAACCAAACGAAAUGAAAUUGAGGCAAUUCCCAAGAAGAAAGACAAGGAUCCCUGUAAGAUUCCAACAACAUUGGAGACUCAGAAAAAGCUUCAUAUAAACUUCAACGGGGAAAAGGUUUAAGACCAGGACAUACCAACUCUCCAAGUCUGAUUAUGUAUAAUUGGCUUCAAUGGCAUCUUUCCUCCGCCAUCUUGUAGGGCUAACCUUUCUCUCUGAUAAUACACAAAGUAAGACAAUACGUUUCACGUGACGAGAUCAAAUGUAACCAAACAGUAGUGGCUGAGGCAAAUGCAGACCUCAUUAUGUCCCAAUUUGAGAAGGUUUGUGCCAAAAUUAAUAGCAACACUUCCAAAAAUGUUGAUGAAAGCUCCGAUGACCCACUCUCCCAUUGGUAAUUAAAGAAUGAAGAUAGCUCAGUUAAAGGAUCAUCUAAAGCUGCAAACUUGAACCAAUCAACUAGCUCAGGCCUCCCUCAUAUGAAUCUUAGCCUUCAAGAGAAGAAGCAUAAAACCUAAGAAGGGCUAUUAGAUGGUGAUUGCAAACACAAGCUUGUACCUUUGAUUGAAACAGAGAUCAAAUGGACAAAAUUGAAACAAGGGUUUUCGAUGAUUAGCAUAGAGAAAGAGAAAAUGAGACAAAACCUGCGAAGGGACGAUAGAGGAGCUUCAGAUCCAGAUCGAUUUCUAACAGAAGAUGCAGAUUGCACAAGUUCUCUCCCAACAAAGAGAAUCCUUUUUGAGAUUUAAGCUUUACCAAACAAAAUGGCGUCGAAUAAAAGGAAGAAGGAUAAAAAUUGGAUCUUUCCCCAAAAAUUGAAAAUUCUAAAAAAGCUUUGAUUUUUCGUAAGGAAGACCCAAUCGCCGAUAAAGCUUGAAGACGACGGUGACGAAGACGACGACGAUGGCGAUGUUAGAUUGAUACAAAAUGACGUAGUGGUUGGGCCCUUUUGUGUUGUUAAAUCUGUCUUCUUGCUGCUCCUCACGUUUUGUUUUGGGCUUUUUACCAUUUUUACUCUCUUCUCUUCUCUCUCUCUCGUUGAGAGACACUCAAUGGCCAAAAAGCAACCUUUGGCGGGCGGGUCAAAAUUGACUCUUUUGACCUUUCAUUUUCAUUGAACCUCUAUAGACAGAAAAGGAUGGAUUUUUCUGAUGAAGACGACGACGAAAACUGUUUUGGUUCUCGUUUCAACGACGGUGUAAAUGAAGAAGAAGAAGACGAAGAGGGUUUUGUGUUUAACGACGAUGUUGAAGAGAAUGAAGAAGAAGAGGGUUUUGCGUCUGAUUUCUAUAAGGCUGGUUCUGAUUGGUCUUGUUUAGUGGAAGAUGAAGAGACUGUUUCUUCUUCUGUGAAGAAGAUGAAACAGUCGAACUUGUUUCAGAUUUGGGGUUUACAAGAGAAUUCUCCUGAUACAACGAAGAAGAUGAAACAAACUGAUUUGUUUCAGAGUUGGGGUUUACAAAAGCCUUCUCCUUUCACUUCACCUGCUUCGAAUUCGGCGAAGAAGACGACGAGUGCUCUUGGAAAAAGGCGUAGAGACUCUUCGUUUAGCAAUGACUCGCCUCGACCAUGUCCAUUUUACAAGAAACUUCCAGGUCUCUCUCUCUCUCUCUCUUCUUCUUCUUUGAAUUCAUAUGCCUAAAUGUGCUUCUCUCUUUGCCAAUUUCAUGAAGUUUGUGAUUGAUUGUAUGUAGGAACACCGUUCACUGUGGAUGCUUUUCGCUAUGGUUGUGUUCAAGGAUGUUCUGCUUAUUUCCUUACUCAUUUUCACGCUGAUCAUUACAUUGGUCUCACUAAAGCUUGGUCUCAUGGUCCUAUUUACUGCUCCUCUCUCACUAGUCGUCUUCUUAGACUUAGUCUCUCUGUUAAUCCCUCGUAAGCUCUUUGUUAAAGCUGUCUGUGACUAAGGACUUCCUUCUUGAAAUUAUGUAUUUAUUAGUUUCUGUGUGUAGGUCUAUUCAUCCAUUGGAGCUAGACGUUGAGUACACUAUUAAUGGGAUUAAAGUCACUUUAAUUGAAGCUAAUCAUUGCCCUGGUGCUGCUCUUAUUCACUUUCGUCUCUUAGAUGGAACAUGUUAUCUGCAUACCGGAGAUUUCAGGGCUUCUAAACAGAUGCAAACGCAUCCUCUCCUCUUUAACCAACGAGUUCAUGUUCUGUAUUUGGAUACAACAUAUUGCAAUCCGAGAUACAAGUGAGAGCAAAAAUUUGUCAAAUAGUAUAACUUGUGAUGGAUUUGAAGGAGCGUGUGCUCGUAAUGUAAUGUUUGAUCCAUUCUUUUUUAUGUUAUUGUUCAGAUUCCCUUCUAAAGAAGAUGUGUUAAGUUAUGUUGUGAGAAUCACAAAGGAUUUCCUCAGGAAGCAACCGAAGACUCUGAUUGUGGUUGGUUCUUACAGCAUUGGAAAAGAAUGUGUUUAUCUUGCUAUUGCCAAAGCUCUUGGGGUAUAAAAUGCUGGAGACAUUUUCUUUCUGUUUUAGCCAUCUUUUUGGGACUCUAUAUGUUCUAACUUUUUGGAGUUUUCAGGUUAAGAUAUUUGCAAAUGCUUCAAGAAGACGAAUACUGCAAUCUUUUGGUUGGGAUGAUAUUUCGAAGAAUCUUUCUACAGAUGGGAAAGCCACAUGUCUUCAUGUUCUGCCUAUGUCGUCAUUGAAAGUUGAAGUAUUUCUCUAAAUCUAAGAUGCUUAUCUCAAGUAUUAUUCUAUAUAGACUCCAUGUCAACCUCGCAUGAUCAUAACUCUGUUCUGAUUAUUUCCCUGAAGAGACUCGAUGAACACUUGAAGAUUUAUAGAGAACAGUAUGGAGCAGUUUUGGCAUUUAGGCCCACAGGUGAUUUUUUCCCUUGCUGUUAUUUUAUAUGGAUUUUAUUUAGACUAUUGGUAUGAAAAGUAAAGUUGGUUUUUAGGUUGGACUUACUCCGAGAAGAUAGGUGAACACCUUGAUCUGAUAAAACCAACUUCAAGGGGAAAAAUCACCAUUUAUGGUGCGUUUGAUUUUUAUAAUGCACAUUCUCUAUGAGCUUAGCUCUAAAUAUCAUCAUUAUAUUAUGAUGACUUGUGGAGGCCGAUUUGUCUGACUGUCAGGUGAUUAUGUAACUUUUAUAGGGGUGCCAUAUAGUGAGCAUUCAAGCUUCACAGAGCUUCGUGAGUUUGUUCAAGUAUGUAUCAGGAAUGUCAUUAUUUUAUCUAUCCGUAUCUGUCCUGGAUAAGUUUUUCACUUCUUUUAGCAUUAACUGAUUUCGUUAUUGCGCAGUUCUUAAGGCCUGAUAAGAUUAUUCCUACGGUGAACAAUGGAAAUGCUGGAACUCGCGAGAAAAUGCAAUCAUGUUUCAGAGAAUGGCUCAGACGCUGAGGUUCAACUCUAGGUUGAUGGAUGAUAUAUUGGUAAGAAAAUCAAUGGCUUUGGCCAUUCUAUUUCUAAUAUUAUUUCCUUUUUCUGCAGUUUCUGAAUCCCAAUAUGUUGAUCAUUGAAGCUUUCAAAGGAUGUGUGAUGCUUCUGUAAGAUCUUGGUUAUUGCAAUUGGUGAAUACAGUAGAUUGAAAUACUUGAAGGAUUCAUAAUAUUCUUUGAUCUAGAUGUUUUAUUCUUAGUUAUUUCUCUUAUACUAAUCUAGUAUAUGUUUCUUUUUUUUGUGUGCACACUAAUCUAGUAUAUCUUCAAGUGGCUAAUUUGUUUAGUUAUGAUGGUUGGGAAAGAUAAGAGUUCAGAGAAACAAUACUGUCUACCAUUUUACUUCUCUUUACCUAGAAGAAGGGUUAGCAUCACACGAGUAGACAAUGCAAAGAGGGAAUAAGAUAACCAAAUCAGAUUCAGAAUCUGGAGAUAGAAGAUUGCCAUUAACCUCAUUGCAAAACUUGAUUUGUCGCUGUGUAGAGAACUCUGAAGAGAUUUUAUAUUGUAGUCAUAUUUCAAAGCAAUUAGCUGAAUCACCGGGAAUUGGACCAAUCUUCAUCUUGUCUGCACUGCCCUGUUGUGAAAGGGUUCCUUAUCUUAGUUGCAUUGUUCUGUGAGUGAUUUACUGUCUUAAAAUCGUUUAUCUUCGUGUAUUUGAUUGUUUCAAAGAGCAUCUAAAACAAUGGAUCCUAUGAGUUAAUAUAAUCUCUAUAUAUCUUUUGCUUAUGAGAAACACAUUCAAGUCACAGGGUCUGAAAGCAUUUGCUUCUCAUGUUUUAACUUUGUUUACAGAAGAAGUCUUUCCAUAAUAUAUAACAAUUGAGAGAGAGGUUUGAUACGCCUAGAGAAACGAAACUAGUUAGACUACAAAGCAGUAGCGAGGAUCAAUUUGACGCUCUCCUCGAUUUGAAAUGCUGGAAAUGGCAAGAGAGUCUUCCUUUGUGCUUCCUUCUUCUGCCAUUACUCGUAGAAACUCUUCAAGAGCGCUCUGCAUCCACUCAUACCGACACAGCUCCAAGGCUUCUUUUACAUUCAGCUGUGGCAUUUACACAAACCAUUAUCACUCACUCAUAUAACAACAUAUCUACUUUCCUCGCGGUUAUCAAAAGCAAAGAUUUGCGGUUUUACCCAUCUUCUCUCGCGGUCAUCUUGCUCAGGCCAUAUCGCAAGUUCUUCCUUCACCUCUAACGCAAACAUAUAACCUUUGCAUCCACCACCUAAGCAGCAAUCAGCUUCCACACUGCUACUCUUACUUCUAAAUUCCCAAACUCCUAAUGGAUCUUCCUACACAACACACCAAUCUUAAAUCUAUACAAGAACUUUCGAUAAAGAAUGACUGCCUUAAUAAAAAAACUUACUCUUAGUAUUCCUUUAACUCCUGCUUCUUCCAUAGCUUCACGAGAAGCAGCUUCAAGAACAGUUUCAUCAUCUUCCCAUCCUCCCUAAACAAAUAACACAAGUAAAGAUUCUAUUUCUAUCCAAUAGCACUUUGCAUUAUAGUUUCAAGAAUUUAAAGGAAAACAAAAUACCUUUGGGAAGACAAGAUCGUGACGAUUAGGAGAUGAAAUCAUAAGAACUUGAAGCUUGUUUUCAAAGUCAACACUUGUUGAGUCCUCUUCUUCAUCUUUCACCAGCCUAUACGGAAUGCAUCUGUCAUAUCCAAAUUAAAAAGAACCAAACCAAUAAAAUAUCAAAUCAAGAACGAUAUAAAGGUCAACGACAUGAAAGUGAAAGGAGAUGUAAGAAAAUGGUGAAAAGAAUUUAAGUACCCAGAAACAAGACGGAAGUUGUUGUCAUAACGUUGAUGGUCUCGUCCUGUUCUUGCAGAAAGAUUCGACAUUUUUGAUAACCUGCAACACACACAUUAAAAACACACAAAUUUAUUUGGAGAAAUUGAGAAGAAGAGCUAAUUACGGUGAGAAUGCAGGUCCUAAGCUUUGUAAAAGUCGUGUCUUUAUCUAUUGGCGUCAGCAAGAAACAUCAUCGUAGCUUGCUUUCUUCUUCUUGUUUCAAAAUAAAAAUAAAAACAGAACCGAUCUUCUUUGUUUAACCCAGAAGACGAACUAAAGAACCAACAACAGGUGAAACACAACUCCAAAAACAAAACAAAAAAAAACAAGAAAAAUGGAAAAAGAAAGGAACGGUUUUGGUUUGUUGUUGGCACAUAUAGGAAGGAAGGAAGAAGGAAAAAGAUGAGAUUUUUGCGGGGACAUAUAUAAUAAGAGAGAGUCAGCUCGCUGACGAAGCAGAGAGCAUUCAUUUCUUUUCUUUAUUAAAACCACCCAUCACGUUUCAUUGUUUUUAAAAUUAUUUUUUCCCAAUUUUGAAAACAGUGUUACAAACUUUAUAUCAGGAAAAAUAUUUUAUAUUAUGAUAUAAUGAAAACUUUUGGAUUGUUUAAUUUAGAUUAGAAAAACCGGAUACUUUUUAGAGCUAAAACUAAACAAGCUGGUUCUUGAAGAAAAAUACUCUGGUUUAUUUAAGCAGAUGUAAAACAGUAAUUUGAAAAACAUUGUUUGUAAAAACAAGUUAAUACAUGACCCAAAUUAGUAGAUUAAAUGGGAGGUUGAACGGAAAAAUCUGAGUAUUAGAACAUUAUCAUUUGUAGUAGAUGAUAGACAAGCGAAUUCCUAAAUACGCAGACGUAAAACAGUAAUUUAUUUAUUUAUGUUUGCGUAUUAAAAUAAAACAGUAAUUUUAUGAUUAUAAUUGUUUGCUUUUAUGUUUUUUCUGAACAAUGAGAUAGCUAGAUCCUCUCGAUUUUCAAUGUAAAAUUGAUGUUUCUUGACAUUCAGAAGAUACCAUGAUUGGGCAUGAAUGAGUCCUAAGACAAGACUUAAUACUUCAUCUAGGUCUCAAGAGUUUUUUGAAGCAAAACUAAAUAAGCUGGUUUUUUUUAAAAAAAUCCUCUAAAUUGUUUAAUUUAAGCAGAUGAAAAAUAGUUAAAACCAUCUCCAUCAGUUAGAAACUCAAUUUUAUUAAAUAAUAUAAAUUUUAUUAUUAUUUUAUUGUUAUUUUUUAAUUAUUAUUUAAACUAAUCAGAACAAAAUAAAAGUAAAAAUAAGUUUUUCAGAGUUUCUAUCCCUAAUGAAGAUGCUCUUAUUUGAAAAACAUUUUGUAAGAAUAAAGAAAUAGGUAAACACAUUAAUACAUGACCCAAAUUAGUAGAUUAAAUUGGAGUUUGAUCGGAAAAAUCUGAUUAUUAGAACAUUAUCAUUUGUAAUAGAUGAUAGACAAACGAAUUCCAAAAUACACAGACGUAAAACAGUAAUUUUACUUAUUUACGUUUGCGUAUUAAAUAAAACAGUAAUUUUUAUGAUUACAAUUGCUUGUUUUAUGUUUUUUUUGGACAAUAAGAUAGCUGGAUCGAAAACAUAUAAUAUGUGACAAAAGGAUAAGACUUAACAUUACCAAAACAAAAGAACCAAAAUCAAAAUUGAAUACUUCUAGUUACGAAUUAAAAAAAAAUUGAGCAUAAAAUAUGGAUUUUUUAACGUAUACUACAAAAUACAAAUAUUGUGAUGAAAGAGACCAACCAAACAAAACCAAGUUGACCCGGUUUGAUUCGUUGGUAUCUUGGUUAUAUGAGUGGUUCACCACAAACAAAUUUAAAAUACUUAACAGGCCCACCAAAUUGGCUAGAUAGCCCAUUAAGUUUCACUCUGUGUAGAACAAAUGUCCCCAGUUGUUCAACUAAAAACAACUUAUUGGGCCUAAAAUGGGCCUUUUAAAUUGAAGUAGACGGUUGGUGCAGAAGACUAUGAUUGAUUUAAUUUUUGAGUCACUUUUUCAAUCAUUUCCGAUUUUGUAUGAUUUAUUCAUGAUGAUGACCACGACCGCCGUUUCAAUCAUUGGUCUAAAACUCUAAACAUUUCAAAAUUCUCUAGUUUUUAAAAGAACGAAAUAAAAAAGUUUGAAAAAAAAAGAAGAGAAUAAAAAAAAAAAAAGUCAAGAGAAACGUUAAAACGCAGAUUGAAACAAAACAUAGAAAAACGCGAAACGCAGAUCGUGGAAAUGUGAGUUUUUGAAAAGUUAGCGUCAGAGAGAAGAAGGAAAUGUAUGUCGAUACAGCUGGCUUAUGACCCCACCAUUUUUUUUUUACUCUGUCGAUGUGAGGAAUUGUGGUCCUAAAUUAAUUAUUUUAUUUUGUAAAAAAGUGAGUUUGUUGAAUUUUUUAUUUAUAAAAGAAUAUUUUAUGAAUGUUUGUUCGCUGGAUAUAUCUAUUUGUCAUUAAUAACAACAAAAGGGUUAAUUUUUUAAUUUGCUUUCUAAUAGUACUAGUUAAAACUACAGUUCUUUUUGCUAUUAUUGUUGGUGUAUUUAUGUUUUAGUUAGUAGCAGUAUAACAUGUCAAAAAUAAAAAAUUUAGUAGCAGUCUAAGAUGUAAGUCAUGUGACAUCUACCUAUAAGAAUCAGAAACACUAGUAUGAAACAUAAUUAAAUAUUCUAUUUUGAUUUAUAACAUUGUUAAUUAUAAUUUUGUAUUAAAAUGGUGAAUUAUAAAAUAAAAAUUCUUUUACUAAACUUAGAUUUUACUAAAUUACAAAUAUAUGAUUAAUAAAUGGGAAAAAUGUCAUUUAAUUCCCCAACUUUAAAAAAAUGGUUAUUUUAUACAUCAACUUCGUAUGUGCCCGUUUAAAACAUGAACUAAACGUUGACUAAUUUUUAAAACAUGAUCUUUCGUUGACCAGGCCAGAAUAGACAUGCCGUUAUCAGUCAUUAACGGAACUUUUAACGUCUGUUAUCAUCCGUUAACUUUAUUAGUCAAGUUUCAAAUUGUGGUCAUUUUAAACAUCAACUUCUUAUUUGGCCAUUUAAAACAUGAACUAAACGUUGACUACCAUUUAAGACAUGAAAAAUUCGUUAACCAGGCCAAAAUAGAUAUGUCUUUAUCAGUAGAACCUAGAAAUAAUGACUGUUAAUCUGUCCAAAACAACGUCGUUUGAGAAUAAUCGAAAGAACACAAAGAUUUUUUCCAUAUAAAAUCUCCAUAUCAAAAGUUUUAAGCAGAACCCAAGAACAUAGUUUGAUAAAGAGAUAAUCGCAGUGCCAGUAAUUGGAAGCAAAUAAAGGUGUUUUCGUUUAUAUAUUUGUUUUAAAUUUUAAAGGGAAUCAUGGAAGCAAAUUGAAGACUCAUUAUAAGAUUAUUCGUCUUGUUUGAGCGGUUGUAGAAAUAGAUUUGGGGAACUGGGGUUUCAUUUAGAAUCUUUUGAUUAUUCUCAAAACAAAGUCGUUUUAGGGAUACUAAUAAAGUCGUUAACAAGUGAUAAUGAAUUUUAUAAGUUCUUUUAAUGAAUGAUGACAACAUGUUUAUUUUGGCUUGGUCAACGAAUUUCUCAUGUUUUAAAUGGUAGUCAACGCUUAGUUCAUAUUUAAAAUAGUCACAUAUAAAGUCGGUGUUUAAAAUGGCCACAAUUUAAAACUUGACUAAUAAAGUCGUUAACGGAUGAUAACGGAUGUUAGAAGUUCCGUUAAUGACUGAUAACGGCAUGUCUAUUUUGGCCUGGUCAACGAAUAAUCAUGUUUUAAAAGUUAGUCAACGUUUAGUUCAUGUUUUAAACGGCCGCAUACGAAGUUGAUGUAUAAAAUAAUCAUUGUUUGAAAGUUGGGGGAUUAAUUGACAUUUUUCCCAUUAAUAAAUUGACUCUUAAUGUUUAGAUUAAGCUUAGAAUUAACAAAUCAACUGAUAAGAGUUAUAACAAGUUUAAGCUCUUCUUCUUCCUAAACUGAAUAUUAUGCCAAUAUUUCAAAUAUUAGAAAUAAAGGUUUUAAACUAAAUGUAAAUCUAUGACAUGACAUAAUCCUUUUAUAUUUUUGUAAUAAACAUAAGAAUAAUAGGAUAGUGCAGAAAAAGCUGUGAUUCCAAUAUAAUUAUGUGAUUGAUUGACUAAACAAAAAUAUGAAGUCUAAAGAAUUAUAAAUUUCUGUAGUUAUGAAUCCCAUCUAUCAUUGGUUGCUUAUUAAUUUAUGAGAAAAAUAAAUUUUUAUUGACAAUCUUAUUUGUUUUGUUUUUGGUAGUCUAAUAUUGAAGUACACAUUUAUUAAAGUAAUAAAAAUAAACCAUUUUAAGGACACAUACGAAAAAAGAAAAAAGAAAAAAUAAACAGAGAGAAUUGCGGAGUAAAAUAAAAAGAAAAGAGAAGAAGGCAGAGACAGAGUGGUGGUCUUGUUCGUCUCCUUUCAAAACUUGCGGCGGCGGAAACUACGUUUCACGGCGGCGGUCUUAAGUUUCUUCCUUCUGAAUCUUCUCUCUUAAAAAAAAAAAAAAAGUUCCCAUUCGCUGUAAUUGCAAACUGGCCAAGUACCCCACUUGCUUCUACUCUUGUCUUCAAAGGUUCUCUUUUUUUAUUCCUUCCUUUUUUUUCACCAAAUUAAACAAAUGGGUUUGGUAGUUGCACAAGAGUAAAAACUAACCAAAGUAAAAAGUUUGAUUCUUGUUGUUGUUGUUGCCGUUGUUGAUUCUUAGUUAAGUAAGUAAAAAAUUUUCGGUGAGUCUUAAGAAAGAGAGAGAGAGAGAGAGUUGUUGUCUGAAACGAUGUCACUUUCUGUCGGCAUUGUCUGCGUUCCGACACAAGACUUGAUUUCUUCUUCUUGUUCUUCUUCUUACCCUUUUACCUUCAAGUUGUUCUAGAAGAAACUGCGGCGGUUUGAUUUGAUGUUUCCAUUGCUCUCUGUUCCGUUUUCACACCAAGCUUUCUUGUUUCUGAUUAGAAAAAUAAUUUGAUUCCUUGAAUCUGCCGAUAUAAGGAAUUUUUUUCAUUGAAUGUGGAGAAAAAAAAGAAUGUGGGGAAUCACGUCAUCGAUUUUGUUGAAUUUGUGUGAUAUUUAAUCGCCGAUGAAGUUGAGAUUUUCUGGAGAUCUGUCAAGGUUCUUUUAAAAAAUACUUACUGCAUGUUGAUUGAUUGAUUUUUACAAAGUUGACACCUUUUCUUUUUUUACCUCUCAAGCUCCUCUGUUUGCUUUUAAAACUGUCUCUUCUGUUUUUUUUUUUUUCUUUUCGCCGACAUUCUUGUUUUAUUCUUUCUCUCCAGGGUUAUCGCAUGGUAGUAGAAGCUUGGAGCAUCGGUGAGGAAAAGAGAAAGAGAGAGAGAAGGCAGUUUUGUUUUCCAAAUGUCAGCAAUUCUUGCAGCUGCCAUUGGUGGUGCUGUAGGAGCUCUUGCAUUGAUUGCUUUGUUUGUUUUUCUCCUUUGGUUUUGUGUCUUUCGUCGUAAGAAUCUGUCUAGAACUUCUGAGACUGGCUCUUCUGAUCCAUCUACUCAAGGUAAAUCACAAAUCCCAUCAAUUCUAUUCCUCUCUCUCUCUCUCUAUUGACUUUCUUGGAUGAUAUCAAAAUGAUUUAGACUUUUUUUUCUUUUGUUAUAUGUUUGUGUGAGUUCAGAAGGAAGAAAUGUUGCAAUUGAGUUGUCAAUGAGAGAAGCUAGAAGAUUUGAAAUGGAGGAACUUGCUCAAGCCACCAAGAGUUUUACCAAUAAAAGUCUUAUUGGUAUUGGCAAAUUCGGCGAGGUUUACAAAGGUUUGCUUCAAGAUGGUGUUCUUGUAGCUAUCAAGAAAAGACCUGGUUUGCCUACUCAAGAAUUUGUUAACGAGGUUUCUAUAAUUAAUCUUGUUCAAGUGUUUGCUUUUAGUCUUCUUAGACCAAGUGUAUUGAUUGAGAGGAUAUGGUUUAUUUCUUCAGGUUCGUUAUCUAUCGUCUAUCCAUCACCGUAAUCUCGUCACUCUUUUGGGGUUUUGCCAAGAAAGCAACACACAGUUUCUUGUCUACGAGUAUGUUCCUAAUGGAAGUGUUUCCAGUCACCUGUACGGUAACUCUCUGUCCUUAAUGUUAUUUUCAUUUGGUAUUUAAUCAGUUUGAGAAAUGAGUUUGGACGAUGUAAGCAUCGUUUAGGUCUUUUCCUCUGUUAGGUGCUGGUGGUAAAGUACCUGGUAAUAGACUAGAGUUCAGACAUAGGCUUGCAAUAUCUAUAGGAGCAGCUAAAGGUAAAUCCUCUACAAAAUCCUCAUUGAAGCCAGCUCUAGCUUGUGUCCUGAUCUUGCAUAUACCCUUUUGUUAUCUCUAGGCUUGGCACAUCUUCACUCGUUGAGUCCUCGGUUGAUACACAAGGACUUCAAAACCGCUAAUGUUCUUGUGGAUGAAAAUUUCAUUGCUAAGGUUGCGGAUGCAGGAGUCCGUAACUUCUUAGGAAGAGAGGAUGUUGGUACAUCGUCUCACAUUGUUGCAGACCAGAUUUUCCUCUCCCCAGAGUAAAUUAAAAAGAUUUCACCUUCUAAGCUCUCAUAUGCUUCUUUUUAGUAUCAAAGUUUCUCAGAUUGUCCCCUUUUUUUUUCAGGGUUCAAGAGUUCAAAAGAUUUUCAGAGAAAAGUGAUGUCUAUGCUUUUGGUGUAUUCCUCUUGGAAUUAGUAAGUGGAAGAGAAGCAUCAGAACCAUCCCCUUCAAGCUCAACGCAAACUCUAGUCGAUUGGGUAUGUAAUCACACUCAAAACCGUGCCAAUGUAAUCUAUUUUGAUUCUCAUUUUGUAUGCAUUGGGAGUUGCAGAUGCAAAACUUAACGGAUUACGCAGAUAUACCAAUGAUGAUUGAUGAGAGACUAGGAGGUACAUACACAGCAGAAGGAGUUGAGGAACUUAUUACAUUGACACUAAGAUGUGUUGAUGUAUCAAGUGAGAAGAGACCAACAAUGAGUUUUGUUGUGACAGAGCUUGAAAGAAUAUUGGAUAAAGAAGUGAGCUUAACAACAGUAAUGGGUGAAGGUACUCCAACUGUUACUCUUGGAAGUCAGCUUUUUAAAGCAACCAAGUGAUUAUUAUAAAGGAACCAUCUUUUUACAUAUAUAUACAUAUAUAUAUAUAUAUUAUAUAAGUUCUCUGAGACAAGAACCAAUCAGAGAACUUAAGGAGGAAGAAGAAGAAGACUGAUCAGCUGUUUUGUGUUAAGUGUAUAAAGAACAGCUGAAGCUUAUUGUUUGUUUGUUUUUUCCCUCCUUUUUCACUUCCUUUGGAGGUUAUUAUUUUCAGCAAUUAUUUUUUUGACAAUGAGUGCAGAAAAGUAUAACUUUGUAAAAACAUUAUUUAUUGAUAUAAAGGAAGCAAAGAGUGGAAUGUUGUGUGAUUCUUUGUUACAUUUUACUCUCUACAAAAGCUUUGAACUUAGCUUGAAAGACUUUAUUGCCAAGUUGGUUGGUUGAAUAAGUUUUGAUGAAAAGAUUCCAAUUGGCUAACUGUUGAACUAACAGAAGGUGAUAACUCCCUGUCUGAAGAACUCUAAUUAUUAUGUUUGUACAGAAAAACUCAGAGCUACUUUUUCCUAUAAAGUAGCCAAUUUUGGGAAAGAUUUUGACCUUUAGCUUCAACCUACCUAUGCUUUGAUAGCCUUUAUUGCCAAAGGGGAGAUAUAGUAACCAAGUUGGUCUCUAAAGUCUUGAUCAAAGAUUCCAAUUGGAUAACAACACUCUUGGUCUUGGACUAGUAUAGUUCCUACAUACUCCAUUUGCUACUAGUGAAAAUAAACUCAAUGCUCUGAUUUAUUACUCUGUCCCUAGUUUUGCUAAAAAACCUUUGUGGGCACACAGAACUAUAAACAAACAGUCUUUGGAACAGAUUGCAAAAUCAAAAUCAUGUUUGGUCUGAUUUUAUGUCGGGAGAGAUUGAAGAUCUAAUGAUAAAGACUCUUCUUCUGUAGAUAGUUAACUCGUUAAAUUGGUGGGUCUCACAUUUAUUAUUACCUUCCAGAUUUUGACCUCACAGAAGCAAAAACACAGUAGUGAUUGAAAAGCUUAGAAAAGAAAUUACAAAACCAGAGAUUGUUGAUUCUUAGUUCAUACAUAGAAGAAAGAAACAGAGCUAAUGUUUUGUCAUAAAUACUAAAAACCGUUAAAAGUAUAUUUUUAAAAUGAGAAAAAAUGUGAGCCAUUCGAUUUUUGGAUAGACCCAUCAUGUAAAGGUUUAAGCUUUUUUUUUGUUAGCCAAAGAGAAAGCCUUUUUAGUUCUAUUGACAAUGGCGACGAAGCUGAUUUCUCCGCCGUUGUCUUGUCCGUGGGUUACUUCAAGAGAGGUGAUAAUCAAAGGGCUUCCACGGCGGAGAAGAGAAUGGAUGGUCACGAAGAGAAACAGAGUCUCUGCUGUCACGGCCAUGAUUGUGGAGCCACUUUCUGUUGUUUCUUCUUCAGCAAUUCAGAUUCAUCAAUGGUGGGAACAAAACCCUAAUUCGUUACUGUUAAUGACGGAGGCUACUGGUGGUUAUUCGUUGGCUAGCUAUUAUACGUCUUUGGGUUUGUUUGUUAUCUCUGUUCCUGGUCUUUGGUCUCUAAUCAAACGCUCUGUUAAAUCAAAGGUUCGAACUUUACUAAUUACAAAACCCUAAAUUUCACUUCCAAUUCCCAAUUUCUUCGAUUUUGAAAAAGCUUGAAUGCAAUGUUGAGGAUUUGUAGAUAGUGAGAAAGACGUUUGUUGUUAAUGACGUCAAGAAGGAGCCAAAGCAAGUAGCUGGAGAGAUUCUAUCUUUCUUCACAAGGAAGAAUUUCAAUAUCACUGAUCGUGGAGAAACAAUCACGUAAGCUACAAAAAGCUCGAACUUUUCAUUUGGGUUUCUGUGUUUUGUUACUGACAUUGUUUUGAUAAAAAGAUUUGAAGGAAAGAUGGUUCCAAGUAGAGGACAAGCUGCUCUGCUUACGUUUUGUACAUGUAUAAGCUUAGCAAGUGUUGGUCUUGUCUUAACCAUUACAGUUCCUGAUUUUGGAAACAAUUGGUUCUUCAUCAUUCUCCUUAGUCCACUCGCGUAAGCUCUCUCUCUUUAAGGUCUCUGAGACUGUUUUUUUGUCAAUGAAAUGGUGAUUAUUUUGUAUGUGUGUGUGUGUUGCAGAGGAGUGUAUUACUGGAAAAAGGCGUCGAGGAAAGAGGAGAUAAAAGUGAAGAUGAUGGUGGGAUCAAAAGGGAGAUUGGAUGAGAUUGUGGUUCAAGGAGAUGAUGUUCAGGUCGAAGAAAUGAGGAAAGAGCUUCAGCUUAAUGAGAAAGGCAUGGUUUAUGUCAAAGGUCUCUUUGAGAGAUCAUCAUAAUGAUAACAUUUUAGCCUCCCAUUUUUGCCUUUUGGGGAAUGUGUCUAUACUUGUUUUAUUAAGGUUGAGAUUAAUGACUUUUUAACUCAUUUCCCAUACUUCAUACUAAACGAAUCGAUUUGAAUAUAGUUCAUUUGAUUGAGCAAUUUUGUUAUUUUGAAAGUCCAAAUCCAUUUUUUCAUUACCAAAGACAACAAUAAAGCCACAAAUUUACUAAGAAUUAGUAAGUAUGGUCUUCCUGAGUGAUCGGCUAGUCCAUGAUUCCCAAAGCCAAGGUUGUUCAGUACUAUAUGCCAUCAAUGAUGAGUUCGAAUUAUAUGUACAUAUGAAAUGGGAGAUAUGGAUACUUCGAUGCCAUUGAGAACAACUCAAAAAUCUUGGUGAUCGAGACUUGAAAUAAUGACAGCAUUAAGUGUACAUCUAAAAUGUGUUUUGGAACUUUUCGAGAUCCUUCAGAUGCUCGAGGUUUGACACAUUUUCUUGAACACAUGAUGUUCAAAGGAUCAAAGCUAUAUCUUGACCGGAGUGAGGUAUAAUGAUUACAACAAUAGUAGAGACGAAUACGUGGAGAUAAGUAUAAGUUUGUUAUGGAGGCUAAUAAGAGGUUAAAACACGAUUGAAAAAAAGAAAAAAGAAUCAUGAGAAUAAGACUUGAUCAAACAUAAUACAUUCUAUGAAAGGUAAAACACCAAGAUGUAGAGUUGGCAAAAAGAAACUAGAAAAAGAAAGUGGAACUUGUUUUUUUUUUAAUAUUAAAUUAUAUAUUUUUUAAUAUUAAAUUAUAUAUUGACAACAUAUAACUUUUUGUUAAUAUUAAAUUAUAGAAUUUAUUUUCAUCUUUAUUUGAAAUGUUAAUUAUAUAUUGAAAACAUAAAAAUAGUUACAUUAUUUGAGUAUUUUAUUAUAUAAAUCUUGGUUUUCAAAGUUAGUAACUCGUAUGAUCUUGAUCAGAUGAUGCACAAACUUUGUAGACAUCAUGGUUAACCUAACAUAAAUUUAUCUAAGUUAAUCAAAAGAAUCUUACAAAUUAAAAAAUGAUUAGGUCGAGGUGAAGAGAACAAAUUACCACAUAGUGUUGUAAUUAGACGGACAUAUAUGUUUAAGUUAAUAAUGGGCUUUACCUCUAUUUGGGUUGAGCUCAACCUUACUCGAUUAACAAAAAAUCUGAAGGUCGCGUGUUUGAUCUACGCUCACCGCACCAUUUGUUAAGAAUAAGAAACGUAAUCUCUAUUUCUUAACUUCCGAUACACCGUUUCACAAAAGAUUGAGCCACCGGCACAUCACCGAUUCAUAACUCUCUCUCACAAGCGACACAUACGUUACUAAACAUUCAUCAAACAAUGCAUAAAACUAAUUACAAGUCUAAUCUCAGUAUUUAUAUACAAUUGUUUCUUAAUUUUUCUUCUUUCUUCUCUUCACUCACGUGAUCAAUACUAAACUUUGACUCUCUCUUGUUACGACCACAAAUUUUUGACGUAUCGAAAUGGUUGUCAGUCUAAUAAAAAACCGUAAAUAAAAUCUAGUAAAAUCUCUGUUAAAUUAAUAGUGUUGGAAUCAAAAUAUUUUGAUUUAUAGUGAUAAGUUAUCUCUAAAUGAAUAUUUAUUAUUUUAUGAUAUAAAUGAAUUGUUAAUUUGUAGAGACAUUUUUUUAUUUUUUUAUUAAUAUACGUAUAUCACCUUGAAUAAUUAAUACAAAGAUACUUAAAUGAUACUGUGUUUAUAUAAAAAAAAAAAAAAAUCAUUAGCAAUCAUUCGAUUCGGCUUGCAAUAAUCUAAAUGGACCAUUUUAUCACUUCUCCAACAAGCAACUCUACAGUGUUUAAUUUUAAAUUAAGAAUUUAAUUAUCUAUAUCGUCUCUUCUUUAGUUAGGAAGUGGAUAAGAUAAAGUCUAAUCCAAAUUAAAUCAUUAAUACAAAUAAAGUUAAGACAAAUAUUUAAUUUAAAUAAAUAAUCAGAAGAAGAGUGAUGAUAGUGAUUCUUCACGCGCCUCUCUCUCUUCUUCGUCCUCUACAAAAACACUUGUCUCUCUUCUACACAUUGUUCUUCACGAACCUCUCUGUAUCAUCUUCAUCUUCUUCUCCCGUAAAGCUCUCGCGUCUAUGGCGGUCAAAUGUUUCUCUCUUUAUCUGAUUCUGGCGGCGAUUGUAAUCGGCGGCGUCACCUCCGAGUACAUAGAGUACAACACAAAACCGAGAAUCGUCCCUGAGAAAAUCAAUGUUCACUUAGUUCCUCACUCACACGACGAUGUAGGUUGGCUUAAGACCGUUGAUCAGUACUACGUAGGCUCCAAUAACUCCAUUAGGGUACUCUCCCUCUUCACACAUCUCUCUCUCUGUCUCUUUCCAUGGAUUCUUUAGGGAUUUGAUUUUUGUUCUCAAUUUGAUUUGAAUCAGGGAGCUUGUGUUCAGAAUGUAUUGGAUUCUGUAAUCGCUUCAUUGCUUGAUGAUGAAAAUAGAAAGUUUAUUUAUGUUGAAAUGGUAAGAUUCAGAUAUUACCAAAUCCGGAGUUUUCUUUUGUCUUGCUUGAUGAAAUUAGUAUUGUUCUUAGGCUUUCUUUCAAAGAUGGUGGAGGCAACAAAGCAAUGCUAAGAAAGUUAAAGUCAAGAAGCUUGUUGACUCUGGUCAACUUGAGUUCAUGUGAGUUUGAUUGAUCUCUUACCUUUUUUGUUUUGAUGACUUGUGUGUAUCUGUUUGUGUUGAUAUGUGGUUUUUGUAGAAAUGGUGGAAUGUGUAUGCAUGAUGAGGCAACUCCACAUUAUAUUGACAUGAUUGAUCAGACUACAUUAGGCCAUCAGUUUAUUAAAACUGAGUUUGGUCAGGUUCCUAGAGUUGGUUGGCAGAUUGAUCCCUUUGGACAUUCUGCAGUACAAGCUUACCUGCUUGGUGCUGAGGUAUAAUUUGUUCAUCGUUUUUGUUCCUUUCGUUUCAUAGUGAGUUUAGAUGAGUUCAGUAUGUGAAUGAUUAGCUUAUAUCAGCUCUAAGUUAUUUUGAUCGGACAACCCUUUGGUUUCUUCUACAGUUUGGCUUUGAUUCGCUGUUUUUCGCUAGAAUUGACUACCAAGAUCGUGCAAAGAGGUUAAGAGAGAAGACACUUGAGGUUAUUUGGCAAGGUUCCAAGUCUCUUGGCUCUUCUUCACAGGUUUAAACCGUUAAACCUCACAUUAUAAUUCUGCUGUUUCCAUAGCUGGCUUUGUCUCAUUGCUAUUUGAUGUUACUUGUAGAUAUUUACUGGUGUAUUCCCAAGACAUUAUGACCCUCCUGAAGGGUUCACGUUUGAAAUAAAUGAUGUAUCAGCUCCUAUCCAGGUAAAAGCAAUUGAACCGGCUGUGCUGUUUUUGAACUUUGUUUGAACGUGCACUGAUGAAUCAUCUUGAAUAUAGGAUGAUCCUCUCCUUUUUGACUACAAUGUUCAAGAAAGAGUCAACGACUUUGUAGCAGCAGCCCUCGCACAGGUAAAGAUCAUAUCCAUUUUUUCUUGAAAUUAGCUAAUAGAAAAGAAGCUUUGCUGUGAUGUGACUUGGAUUUCUCUUUUCAAGGUUAAUGUGACCAGGACAAAUCAUAUAAUGUGGUUAAUGGGAACUGACUUCCGUUACCAGUAUGCAUAUUCGUGGUUCAGACAGAUAGACAAGUUUAUUCAUUAUGUUAACAAGGUACACUGGAUUUUCAUACUAGCAUACUCAUAUCAAUUGAAUUUCACUAGUCUCAAGGUAAGAGAAAUACCAAUCUUGAUUCUCUUGUUCUUUGGACAAUCCAGGAUGGGCGUCUCAAUGUUCUGUAUUCGACACCAUCUAUCUACACCGAUGCAAAAUAUGCUGCAAACGAGUCCUGGCCCCUAAAGACUGAUGAUUUCUUCCCGUGAGUUUGAUAGCUCGGGUUUUACUUUCUACAAAUGCAAAAUGCAUGUUGAUCAAAUAAAUAAUACAUGUACCUGUGUCAGGUAUGCGGACAAACCUAAUGCAUACUGGACAGGGUACUUUACGAGCAGGCCAGCCUUUAAGAAAUACGUGAGGGAUUUAAGUGGUUACUAUCUGGUAUGGCCUACAAUUAUUUUAUAUAAAUUUCAUAGAUUUGUGGUUUAUAUUUUGCUCUUUUCUUACACGGCCUUAUCUGUUUUCAAACAGGCAGCUCGACAAUUGGAAUUCUUGAGAGGAAGGGAUAGUUCAGGACCAACAACUGAUAUGCUAGCCGAUGCUUUGGCAAUUGCUCAACACCAUGAUGCAGUUAGUGGUACACAAAGACAACAUGUGGCUGCAGAUUAUGCUCUUAGACUCUCAAUGGGCUACCUGCAGGUGAUUUUUAGUUAGGCAUCUCAUGUGUUGUUCAUGCAAUUUUUGUGUUUCUUGUUGGCAUAGCAGUUUAAGAAUUUCUCCAUGAUCAUUACUAGGCCGAGAAAUUGGUUGCCUCUUCCCUUUCCUUUCUAUCAGCAGCAAAAUCAAGUACUGAAAAGAAGAAUCCUGGCACAAAAUUUCAGCAGGUAAUGUGCUUUAAGAUUUUGCAGGAUUCCAAUAUUACUGGUCGUGUUGGAAGAGUUGAAAAGACAUUGAUAUCGAAUUUGAGUGGUUAUUAAUAUCGCUUCCGCAAAUGAUGCUGUUGCUUAAGGCAACAAAGAAGUUUUAGUAAGCUGCUUUGUAGCAUUUUCAUGACUUGAAUGACUCAAGUUCCCAAAACUUAUCAUAAUCUAUGUUAAGCUGAUUCUUAUCUUGUGCAUUAUAUUCAUAUUGGCAGUGUCCCCUGCUUAAUAUUAGUUACUGUCCUGCAUCUGAAGCUCGUCUGUUGAGCGGGAAAAGCCUGGUAAGUCUAGCAGACAGGCUUCCUUUGAGUCUAUGAAGCCUUGGACCUCUUGGUUAGUUUUUAUCUUCUGUUCACAUUGAUCUCUCCUUGUAGGUGGUUGUUGUUUACAAUUCUCUAGGAUGGAAACGAGAAGAAGUUGUCCGAGUUCCUGUAAGUAUUUUCUUAUCUACUUGGUUGACCAGUGUAGUUCUCACUUUAUCUUUGUUUGUUAUCCAAUAUUAUUUACCAAAUCUACCUGAUAACUUCUUUAGGUGUCGUCUGAAAAUGUUAUUGUGAAAGAUGCAUCUGGGAAAGAAGUCGUGUUUCAGCUUCUACCUCUUUCAGAAAUCGCUUUGAGAAUUAGAAAUGAGUAUGUCAAAGCGUAUCUGGGAAGAUCACCACGGGAUACUGCAAAACACGUGCUUGCAUUUACAGCUUCAGUACCACCUCUUGGGUUCAGCUCGUAUGUAAUCUCAGACACUGGACGAACAGGUAUGUUUCAGAAUAUGUAAUAUUGUGUCAUAACAUUAUUAUGAGUUAUAGGAUCUUGAAUACAAUUGCAUAUGUUUUAGCUCUACUAGCCGCAACUUCCUUACUGAUACCAACGGAUGUUAUGUAUUUAAUUACAUCUUCGUUUUCUAAUUUGAUUAAGCGCGUGGACUAUCUGCAUCAUAUGUUACUUCUGGAAGCAUGAAUCAAAAUGUAGAAGUUGGCCAGGGAAAUCUAAAGUUACGCUAUUCAGAAGAAGGAGUUAAAAUAACUCGUCACUUAAGUACCAAAAAUCAGGUGUGCCUGUGUUUUUUAUAUCUUAACUUACCUAUUUUUCCAUUCGGAUAUGUAAACAUCAUCUGAUGUUGAUUUUUGGUGGAUUUUAAGGUUACUGCAGAACAGUCAUAUGCUUAUUAUAUUGGAAGCAAUGGAACUGACAAGGAUCCUCAGGUAGCUCAGCUCUUUAACAGAUACAACCUUAUCUACUUAGCUAUCAUUUUGAUGUGUGUCUGAACCAUUCUCAUAUACUUUUAUAAGGCUUCUGGAGCUUACGUUUUUCGACCAGAUGGUGUGCUUCCAAUUAAAUCUAAAGAAGAGGUAAUACAUAUAAGCUGCAUCUAUAACCUUAUUUCCCGACAGUAUGUGAAAACACAAAAGAAAAACUAAUUGUCUAGCCUGACUCAGGCUCAAUUGACUAUUGUUCAAGGACCUUUGUUCGAUGAAGUGCACCAGGAGCUUAACUCCUGGAUAUCACAGGUUAUAAACUCUUUGCAACUAGUUAAUGCUCUUAAACAGUUUAAUUACAUCACAGAAGCUAUAACUGUUUGAUCCAUCUUGUGAUGGGUCUGUUAAUUUGCAGAUUACCAGAGUGUACAAGGGAAAAAACCAUGCUGAAAUUGAGUUCACAGUGAGUUGAUCUCUUUUCACAAUUCUUCAUGUUAAACUGAUGAAGAGAAAUUUCAGUAUUUUAAUUUCCUACUUUCUAGAUUGGGCCUAUACCAGCUGAUGAUGGUAUUAGCAAAGAGAUUAUCACUAAACUUACAACCACCAUGAAGACAAAUGGAACAUUUUACACAGACUCGAAUGGCCGUGACUUCAUCAAGCGGGUAUUAGAUGCAAAAUUCAUGUGAAGUAGUUUAUUUUUAUUUUUGUAACAAGGGGUAUUUUGUUUUUAUUGUAACAUACUUUGUUACAUUUUCUUGCAGAUUCGGGACUUCAGAACAGAUUGGGACUUGCAAGUGUACCAACCGGUUGCUGGGAACUAUUAUCCUGUAAGGCAUCAAACCCAUCUGAGAUUCCUUCUCGUGGUGUACUAAGGUCUUGUACUAGACUGAGCUGCACUAUAUCUGGCCUUUUGUCUAAUAUAUAUAUUUUCUUCCAGCUAAAUCUCGGGAUAUACAUGCAAGAUAAAACCUCAGAGCUAUCCGUGUUGGUGGAUCGAGCUGUAGGUGGAUCCAGCUUAGAGAACGGCCAGAUCGAGUUGAUGCUUCAUCGGUUUGUCAACUAACUUUCUCUAUAUAACCAAGACAAGCAUAUGUUGUUUUGCUUGUAUUUCACCUUUUUUUCAUUCAUGUAGGAGAAUGCAGCAUGAUGACAUUAGAGGUGUUGGUGAGAUUCUUAAUGAAACAGUCUGUCUCCCUGAAGGAUGCAAAGGAUUAACGGUAAGCUUAAGUUCUCAUCUCAUUUUUAGCUGUCCAAGUUGCAACGUAUCAGCUUUUAAGGGAACAUGUGACAGAGCUUGUUUCCAAGGUGGUAUUAAAUCGUUAUAGUUGGUCUUAUAACCGUUAUGGUAACUCUGAAUUGUUUUGCAGAUACAAGGGAAGUUUUAUGUACAGAUAGAUAAACCUGGAGAUGGGGCAAAAUGGCGUCGAACAUUUGGUCAAGAAAUUUAUUCUCCACUACUUAUAGCAUUCACAGAACAGGUUGCUCUUAAAAAAAAAAAAAUACUUACUUCCCUCCAGUUCUAUAAGAUAGUGAAGUGAGAUAAGGUACUUUUUUUGUAGGAAGGAGAUAGUUGGAUUAAUUCACAUAAGACGACAUUCUCAGCGUUUGAACCGUCAUAUUCAUUACCAAAAAACGUCGCAUUACUCACCCUCCAGGUUAGUUGGAUUGUGUACUGUAUACAUGUCAAAGACGGUUUUUUAUUAGUUUGACCACACUCACACUAUGAUUAAUUCUGACAUUUUCAGGAGUUGGAAAAUGGGGAAGUUCUUCUAAGGCUUGCUCACUUAUUCGAGGUUCUUACUUGUCCUCUCUAUGCGUUUCCACCGUUAAUAAUGUGUUAUAGCUAUGUGCUUUUUGGUUGUGGAAAUGUAGUUUAACACUAGGCCGAUUAAACUAGCAAAUAAUUAGAGAUAUAGAAAAACUUGUAUUACUCAGAAAACCCAAAUCUUGCAGUGUCAGGAAACCAGACAAUUAGUUGUAUAGAGUUAGUUCAUAAAACCAAACCGUAACGUUUAGGGUGUAUUUUUCACCUAAAAAUCAAACUGUUUUCAUGUUUAUACUCGUAAAAAGCUGACUAUGCGGUUGAUCAUCGUGCUAUGUCAUUUGGUUUUCCUUAAUAGUUCCACAUGUGAAAUAAGAUGAGACCUAAAGUAAUAUAGAAGGGAGAUGGUCAAGUCCACUAAUUGGUUUUAAAUUGAGAACCCAUGAACUUCGACAGUGUUGCUUUUUUGGUUCACUAAGCAACGGGUAAAAUCUAAUGUGGAAUUUGAUAAUUAUUUUCUAUCUCUUCUCUUAAUGGUUUCAUCGAAGUUGAGUCCUUCUGAGUUACUGUCUUGUUAACCUUGUGAAGGUUGGGGAGGAUAGUGAGUACUCAGUUAUGGCAAAAGUAGAGCUCAAGAAACUAUUCCACAACAAAAAGGUUCGCCAAAAAAAGACGACCCUUCUCUUAUUUGUCUCACUGUAUGUUAACAAAAACAACUGCCGUUCUGUUUUUAAUAUGUUUUGAACAGAUAAGGGAAGUAAAGGAGACAAGUCUUUCCGGGAACCAAGAGAAGGCGGAGAUGGAGAAGAGACGGCUAAUCUGGAAAGUAGAAGGCUCGGCCGGGGAGGAAGUGAAGAGAGGAGAGGCGGUGGACGCAGAGAAGCUAGUGGUUGAGCUUGUUCCGAUGGAAAUUCGAACCUUGUUGAUCAAGUUUGAUGAUCAAAUUGAAAUGGUUGGUGAUAAAGAGCAGCAACAUAGGUUAUGAAAUAAUACACGUUGUUGUUGUCUUUUUAAGUUUAAUCGGAGAAGAGAAAAAAGUUUGAAUUUAGUGUCUGAUGCGAGUUUAAAAUUCGGGUGAUUGCAACAGUCACGAGUGCGAUCCCGGUAGGAGUAUCGCAAUUUCUGCAUUAACAUUUACGUUUGCUAAGGGGUGGGCAUUUUAACCGAACCGAACCGAUCCGAACCAACCGAACUCAAACCGACCCAAACUAAACCCGGAUUAACACUAAAAUUAUUCGGUUAGGCUUCUUCUCAACCCAAAUAGUUCGGUUUAAAAACUUUCCUAUCACGACAAUAAAUUUUGUUUGGUGUUUACAUAACCGAAUUAAUCGUACCGAAUCCGAACUUAAACCGAAAUUCCCACCGUUAACCUGGCUAUACUGAAACUAUAUAUAUACGUAUAUAUAUAUAUAUAUAUACAUGCGAUGUUGACAAAUGAACACAAAAGUAGAUAAACUCAAACCGGUAGUUAUUACAUUAACUGUGUAAUAAAGAUUCGGUAUAUCCCACCCGCGAAGAAAAGGAAUCAUAUCACGGGUUAACGAAUCCGGGUCGGGUACACGGAGCAAUCAUAAAGAAGAAACAAAAACUACGACGACAACUUUUUUUUGGCCUUGGUUAAAAAAUUUUCAUAAGUGAACACAGAAGAAGCGGUGGCUCUGAGCCGGCGAAAUCUCCUUUCUCAUCCCUAAAAUUUUCAUGUCCAUCUUGCCUCCUCCGAUUAUCCAAGGUCACAAUUCGUCUUCUCCUUCUUCAGAUUCCUCUCUAAACCCUAGCUCUGAGCAUGGCAACAACUCUUCUUCUUCUCUCUCUCCUCUUCCCUCCUCUCCUCCUUCCCGGAUCUCUUCUUCCACCGGAACUCGAUUCUCCGGACAUUCUGAAUCCUCUCACAAUUUCUCCGGUGGCUCUAGGGGUAAUGGAAUUGAUUGAUUAACUCAGCUGCUUGAUUUUGCCCUAAAUUUUAGGGUUUUUACAUUAAAAGUUCGUUAAUUUUGUUGAGUUUUGAUUUGGGUUUUUAGGGUCUCUUUGAAAAAUCUUAGCUUUUUCUCUAAUUUUUUAUUCUUUCUGUUAAACUGUAGAACCGAGUGUUGCAGCUGAGGAGGGACAUAGCCGUGGAUCUUCCAAAGAGGUAAACUUUAGAUGCUUCUCAGUAAAUGAUGAGACUUUAAGUCCUUUUUUGUUGAAUGGUCCGUUACUUUUGUUUCUACGCUGCAGAUGACACAAAAUGGAGCAGGGAAGGAGAGUUUUUCCCCACCUAAUGCAGAUAAGCGUGACCAUUUUCGAUAUGAUGGUCGAAGGAAUAGGUCUAGAGGGAGAGGUACUGGAGCUGCUGGUUCUUCUUCUUCUCAAUUGCAGCAUAAUUCCGGACCUUUUAAUUCUCCUAGAGGCGGUGUUUCGCAUCAUAAUCCAACUGGUAGAAGAGCUAAUAUGAUAAGUGGGAAUCAUUUACUGAAUUUUCAGUAUGAUCCGAUUUCGCAACCGCAAUCUAGGGGUCCUCCUCCGCCUCAAAGAAGGCAACAAUAUAAGGGGAGGCCUUUUAACAAGGAUUUGUUUCUUAAGGCCAAUUAUAAGUUUGUUGUGUUGGACACUGGAGAUCAUUCUCCUGAUUCAAUGGAUCCUGAUAAAAUGCUGCAGUGGGAUGAUAUUAUUUGUGUAAGGUAUUCUACUCCGUCUCCUGUCCAGUGUCCGAUUUGCUUGGAGUAUCCUCUAUGUCCGCAGAUUACUUCCUGUGGGCAUAUUUUCUGUUUCCCGUGUAUUCUACAGUACCUGUUGACUGGUGUUGAUAACCACAAGGUGGACUGCUUCAAGAGGUGUCCUUUGUGCUUUGUGAUGAUUUCUCCAAGAGAGUUAUACACUGUUUAUAUUGAGAACGUCAAGCAGUAUUCUGUUGGAGAUCCCAUCGAGUUUGUACUUUUGACUCGCAAGAAAGAUUCUUUUGCUCCUACCCGGAAAAAUGAGCAUGACUUGGCUGUUCCUAAUGGUGAAAAUGAGAUAUAUGAUCCGUUCUCAAAGUUCACUUUCACCCAAGAUGUUGAUCUCUCUGUCAGACAAGCAGUUUCAGAGUUAGACAGUUGGAUUGCAAGAGCAGAUCCUCAGCUCGUUGAAGACUUGGAGAAGCAUCUUUAUGUAAAUGCCGCUUUAGAGCGUUUGGAGCAGAGAAAAUUGUACUGGAAUGAGCAUAAGCUCUCUAUUUACAGCAAAGUGUGCACAACGGCUAGAAAUCAGACUCAAUCAUUGUCACCUCCUGAUGUUUCUCGAGUUGGUUAUCAAGCACCCAUGGGGGGCCAUGGAGCGCCAGAUAGCGGCUCCAAUGAUCAAGAUAAAUCAACUGAAGAUUCUUCAGCGGAUAAGUCAGAUGGAGAAUCUCAAUCAAGUUUGGAAAAGGGUUGUGAUAAUGAUCUUGGUCAUCCUCUAGAAGAUCAAGACGCACCGUCAUCUUCCUCAUGCAAUGGAAGUAAAGGUUUCCUGUCUCACCAAAUUGACACCAAAGACCUGAAGGACAACGACGCGUACAACUUUUAUCAGGUAAUCAGUUUCUGAUGCAUACUGUUGUGUUUUCAUAAAGUACUAAUGAGCUGCAUGAUGAUUGUUUUAUUGCUAUGGGCUGGUCAAUCUCUAUAAUCUGAAAUAAAUGUUAUUAUCUGUUUUCGAUAAUCUAGGUGGGUUUAUUAAAUAAUUGUGGUGGUUCUAUCCAUAUAUGCUUAAUUUGUCUUACCUUUGUGCUCUUGUUGUGUACCUAUACAGUCUGUUGAUGGUCAGCACAUUAUCCUUCACACUUUGAAUGUGAAGUGCCUUCUGCAUCACUAUGGAAGCUAUGACUUUCUUCCACCAAGGUAAGAUUCCAGGUCGUUUAUGCAUCACAAUUCUCAUUUUUCAAAGACUAUGGAAUAAGUUCCAAUGGGAUCUUCUUCGUUAUCUAAUCAUUUCUGCAUGUAUUUGGGAUGCUGAUUCAAAGUGUGAUAUAUGGCACUUUUCGUUGAUUAAUCAAGAACCGUUCGUAUAAAGAUCCAACUCUUAUUUAGUAUGAAAAUCAGAACGGACAAUACAUUCAAGUAAAAACGGUUCAGUACAAGAUGUUAUCAUCUCUAGUUUGUUGUUCUAAUAGACUUCUGAUUUUGAUCCAUUAAACGGCAGAUUGAGUGGAAAGAUACUGGAAAUGGAAACCAUUACCCAAUCAGAAGCGAUAAGGAGACGCUACCGCUUUUUAAGUCAUUUUUCUUUAUCAACUACACUUCAGGUAUAUUUUCUCUUUGUUGCUCCUAUCUUCUGCAUGUGUUGCUAUAUCUUGACAUUUUCUCAUGAGGUUAUCCUUGGUUUGGUAAUCUUUUCAGAUAUGUGAGAUUGAUAUGAAGGAAUCCUUGCCUCCUGAUGCAUUUGCUCCAUUUAUACAUGAAAUUAAGAAGCGUGAGAAGCAGCGGAAAGAACGUGCUUGGAAGGUAUUCUCGUUCUAACCAUAAAACACAACCCCACGGUCUACUUCAUCUAAUAUCUUUCAGAUUCCAACUCCUAUUGGCUUUGUUUGCUUUGUGUCUUAUUCUCCUAUGUAUUCCUUUGUUUAAGGAAAAAUCAGGACUUAAGAUCAUAUGAUGUUCAUAUUUCAGGAUCGAAAAAAUAAAAUCAAAGCUGAAGUAGCUGCAGCUGCAGAGCUUGUACCAUUGAUGGCCAGUUUUGGGCAGUCGUCUUCUAGUGAUGACUUUCCCCCAUUUUCCUUGGAUGACUUUGAAGGUAAACAAGAGGAAUCUCUCGUCUCGUAAUUGGAUUUUAGGUUUAUUGAUCUAAUAAGAAGCUUUUGUUGUGUCUCUCUUAAGCUCUGGGAAACUCUGCCCCAAUAUCAUCAAGCCCUCCAAACAUUGGAGAGAGAAGUUCCUUCUCACAUGUGACAAGGCUCGGUUUCGCAGCUGGUCACGACUCCCCAAACCUGAAUAACGAGCCAACAAACGUUCAAAGCAGCAGCAGCAGCAGUGAAGUCUCAAACGCAACCACAGGUAACCACUGUUUUUAGCUCUGCAAAUUCUAAAUAGGAUUCUCGGAUGACCUCUAAACAUGGUUUCAGGUGCAAGAAACACAAACAUAACAUCCUUUGCGAGUGUAGCUUCAAGAACAACAACACCAAUGGCACCAACCGUCAAAGAGCCCGGUAAGAGAGGGAAGAAACAGAGCCGAGUACUUCUAUCGACAACUAGUGUACGCCGUUACUGAAAAGGCCUAUGGAUUUGUGUAUGUAUAAUAAUCUUUUCAUCUAAGAAAAACUGAGUAAAGAAAGAACCAGAGAUUAUGGUGAGUGAGUAAGUGUAAAACUCAAACUUGGGCUUUGUUUCUUUUUGCAACCCAUGUGACUGAUAAUGAAGGUGUCUCUCAUUACUACUAGUCUACUAUGCCAUUUAGGACAAUUAUUGAGACUCAAUCAUAUGAUCCUCUUGACUCAGAGAACUAGAAAAAAAAAGAUUGGAUAAAAUUUCUUCCAAGAGUGAUUUUCAUUCUCACAUGUUACAACAAAGCAUGAACCUUAUCCUUUAAAAAAUAUCUUCUUCCUUUUGUUCAAACUUUUAUCUUCUUUGUCAUAGAAAGUUUGGACCACUGAUUUUAGUCCGUUGGAUUAUCAAUUAUUGACCUCAAUAAUAUCAAAAUUUACUUCAAUGAGAAUAAGAUUACAAUUUUUUAUUUUUUUUUGAACACCAACAAAUCUGCUUCUUCUCUGGCUAUAAAUAAAGCAUAAACUGUUCCAAAAACAGAACCAAAAAAUAUCUAAAAUCACUAAACCUAUCUUCUUAACCAAAAGAUCAAUAGAUUACAAAAAUGCAGGGAGCUCUGUUUAUCAAACCAACUAUUCUUCUUCCUCUUCCUUCUUCAGUUUCUUCUCCAAAACUCACUUUUCUUCUUCCUCACGCAACCAAAGCUUCAAGACUCUCAUCUCUCAGAUCAAACAACUCAUCAUCAUCAUCAUCCUUAACGUCUGACCCUAACACCGUCGACUAUAACUCCUCCAUCCUUUCGUAAGUCCUUUUGAUCACUUCCUCAGUUCAUCCCCUCUUGUUUCUCUUCUCAUUGACUUACUCAAUAACAUCUCUAUACUCAGUGUUUUUCCAGCUGAAGCAUGCGAAGUAAUCAGUGGAUACGCUUGUUCUGCUGAUAUUUACCCUGAAGUCAAGCUCGAUACAAAGCCCGUCUCACGUCCCGUGGCUUCAGAGCCCGUUGACAGAGAAUACGAAGAGUAUAACAGCCCCAAAACGUAAGUGUUUUUCACAUUUUUUAAAACCCUUUCCUUAGCUUGAUUUUUCAUCUCUGAGUUUUGUGAUUUUUGGACUUGGAAACAGGGUUUUCCGUGAAGAGGCCUGCGAUGAUCUUGGAGGAGAAUUCUGUGAACCUGACUUUCAAAAAGAUGCCAACUAGAAGAAACAAGAUUUUAUGUCAUGUGAAUAUGUGUUUGUAUUUCUACAAGUCUUUGUAACCACUCCUUAAUUUAUGAUAUCUAGCUUCACUACUUAAUCAAGAUUGAUGUUAUGGAUUAGACCCGAGUUCCCAAAGUUAAUACUCUCUCUGUUCCAAGUUAUUUGAUGUUUUGGGUUUUACACAAGAAUUAAGAAAAAUUAACUUUUAUAUUUUUAAUUAUUUUUUUGUUAGUUUAAUAAAUAUUAGUUGAGUAUUUAUAAUAAAUGACUAUAGAUUUGAAAAGAAUGUACAAACUAACCUUGAGUCACAGUAUCUUGUCGGAAACAUGUUGGAGAACACGUGUAAUUACGUAAAUGUCCUUUGUAACAUGUUAUUUUUCCGAAAUACAUGCGAUAACAUAAUAUCCUCUUUUUAUCUUGUUAUUUUCUCUUAUUACAUAGUAUUUGUAAAAAGCACGUAGUAUUUUUUGGAAAAAACAUUCUAUUCAGUUUAAUAUCUCAUUUUAUCAUGAUAUUUUGUAGUAAUACACGUUUUUUUAUUAAGAUCACACUUGAUUUCUUUAAAAAUAUAUUCUUAUUUUUUAGUAAUACAUGGUUUUUAUUAAAAUCACAUAUAAUUUUUUUUUUUUAAGAUUCUGUUCAUGUAAAAGAAUUUCAUAAUAAUGUUUUUUCUUAAAAAUUCAUAACGUUUUUUGAAAUAGCAUGUUUUUAAACUAAAUAUAACAUGUGAAAUUUUAAUGUUACAUGCUAUUUUGAAAAUUUACACGGAUGUGUUUCGUUUACUGUUCAUCUUACAACAAAUGAAGGGUAGCUUUGUUAUUUCCUUUCUUCCGACAACGUGGAUCCAUGGUUAUUUUGUAACAAAAAACUUUAUCUCUGCUAGUUUCUUAAUUUGUAUGUUUUAUUUGGUUAUCUACUAAUAUUACUCAUAUUAGUUUUACUUCUCUCCUUUACUAUUGGUUACAAACAAAAAUAAUAAUGAUUGUUUUCCAAAUCAUCAAUUUUGGUGGAAAAAGUAAAAAAACUUAAAACAUCAAAUAACUAGGAAAAGAGAGAGUAAUAAUUUAAAUACUUGAUAACUAAAAUGAUGAGAAAUUUUGCAUACUAAAAGGUUAGAUAAAAGCUUUGUUGGCAAUGUUCGUUUGUUCAUAUGGAUGAUACAAUCAAAUGAUCCACUCAAAUGAUCAUCUAGAUAAUUCAUAUGGAUGUUGUAUGUUUCUGAAUUUGGUUGUGCAUCUAAACGAAACUAAUUAACGUAGUACUAAUUGACACCGCUGCAAAAGAACGACUCUACUUCAAUCAACGUUUAAGAGCAUCUCUUUUCUUAGAAACUUUUUGGGUUUUUCAAAAUAUUUUAUUUUAAUCAAACUGUAGAUGCUAUGUGUUAAGAACCUUUUUCCAUGGGUUCUUGAGAAGCAUUCUUCAAUCUCUCUUUUACUUUAUAAUUACUUUUUUAAUUGAUGAGAACAACAAUGGACAUGCCCAAAAUUUGUUACUCGGAAGAACUGUGCAACAAAAAAACAAAUAAGAAACAAAGUUUACAUGUUUUUACGAACUUGAAACGUGGAUAGUCUAUAUUAGAAGCUUUUGAUCAAACUGUAGAUGCUCAUCUUAAAAAUAACAUCAAAUGGUAAAUAAUUUUUUAAAAAUUGGUAAAAAUAAAAUAAUAGAUAGUACAAAAUACAAUAAAUAAGAAAUAUUGACAAAAAAAAACAAAUAUGAAAAGAAAUCUACGUACUUUAAAAACUUGAAACGUGAACGACAUAUAUUAGAUGAAUUUAAUGAUCUAACGGUAUCACCUCAAAAAUCAUGUUUAUUUAGUAGAAAUAUUAAUAAAUAGAUAGUAAUACAAGAAAUAAUACAUACAAAAAUGUUGACCAAGAAAACAAAUAAGAAACAAAAUCUAGAUGUUUUAAGAAACUUAAAACGUGGACGACAUAUAUUAAAAGACUUUGAUCUAACGGUAGAUGUUCACCUCGAAAAUCAUGUCAAUUUGGUUGAAAUAUUUGUAAAUAGAUAUAAGAAACAAUAAAUACAAAAAUGUUAACCAAGAAAAUAAAUAAAAAACAAAAUCUACAUGUUUUAAGAAACUUGAAACGUGGACGACAUAUAUUACAAGACUUUGAUCUAACGGUAGAUAUUCACCUCGAAAAUCACGUCAAUUUGGUAGAAAUAAUAAUAAAUAUAUAGUAAUAUAAGAAACAAUAAAUACAAAAAUAUUGACCACAAAAACAAAUAAGAAACAAAUCUAUAUGUUUUAAGAACCUUGAAAAGUGAACGGCAUAUAUUAGAAGAUUUUGAUCUAACGAUAGAUGUUCUUGAAAAUAAUAUCAAAAUAGUAAAAAUAUUUAAUGAAAAUUAUUUUAGAAAGAUAAUAUUAGAUAGUAUAAAAUAUAAUAAAUGAGAAACGUUGACUGUAAAAAAAAACAUGUUUUAAGAACCUCGAAACCUGAACGACAUAGAUUAGAAGAUUUUGAUCCAACGGUAAAUGUUCACCUUGGAAUUAACGUCAAGAUAAUUCCAAAAUGCUAUAAAUUGAGGUUUUUGUUUUAGUUCUUCUUCACACUUACAUAUCAAAUAUAUUUUAUUCAUUCUAUAAACUAAAAGAAAAAAUCCUUUCUCUCAUCUCCCUUUCUGUUGCUUACCAUUUUUUCAAAACUGUCUUUGAAGUGAUGAUAUGGACAGGUUUUCUCUCCUGCUUUUUGUUUUAUCUUUUAGAAAUCCAAAUUUUCAUAUCUCGUAGAAUAGUAAUCUCUUAUUUAUUAACCUUAUGGAAAUGAGUUUUUGUCCCUCGUAGACUUGUUGAGUGUGAAUACAAAGGUGGUGUUUUCGCAUUAAACCUUUUUUUUUUGCUGUGAAAAAUGUUCUACUUUUGAUAGGGUAAAUGGGAGGUUCAAGGCCCAUCAUAAUAGAAAUCUUCUUCUUUUUUUAUCAUAUGGAUGCUCCUCCCCUCUAAUCACUCAUUUUAUCAUUCUCAUUUUUUAUAUUUACCGCUAAUGCAAGAAUCUCAUCUUCCAGCUUCUGGUCAGAGGCUUGACCAUUUGUAUAUGCGCUUCUCCCAUGUCCCGUAUAAACCAAAAUUCUCAAGGUUCUAGAGAUUUUCUAUACCGACAUGGCGAAAGCGUAAACAAGAACAGUCAAGCAUCUGACCAGGAGUUGAAAAUGGAAUCUUGAGUUAGAAGCGAAUGUAAAGACAUGAAAUGAAGUGAGAGUGAUCAAAGGCGACCAAAAUCCAAUGUUAUGUACUUAUGACUAGACAAUUUUUAAUUUUGUAGAUGAAUGAAUACAUGUUUGAUAUUUGAAUACCCAAGUUAGACCUAAACUAAUCGUCUAAUCCAAUGAAACUUUUUGAUUUUUUUUGGUAUUGGUAAGAAUGUUUAAUAAGAUGAAAAUAUGUAGCAUUUUGGCACAUUUUUUCAUAUCAAAAUAUCACUUCUCACAUAACAACAAUUAACGAGCAAGAAAAAUAAAGCCUAUCAUUGAGCUUCUUCCUCCUAAUCCUAUCAUGGACUUGUAAUGCUUGGACUCUUGGGGAUCGUGUGGAGAAAAGAUGAUUCAGUAGAAAAUGGAGUAGUUUUUUUUUACUGAAGUAAAAACUGAAAGGUUUGAAUCCUUCUUAAGAGAGAGACUUUCACAGAGAAAACAUUUAGAAAAACAAAAAAAAAGAAGUACCAAACGGCUUGGAUCAUCAAGAGGACAUCACUAAAAACUAGAAUCACGAGGACUUCAUUACUACAUGCAUUAUAAUCAUAGAAAAAUUCAGAGAAGCUAAAUUAAAACCCUAUAAAAAAGGUUAGGUUUUUAAAAGAUUCAAAGGACCUACCACUUUUACGUUUCUUCAUCACAUCCUCUACGUUCUCGUGACUCUCUCUUUCUAUCUCUAACCGCCAUUAACUAUGUCUCCUCUCUAUCUCUCUAAAUCUUUCUUUUGUACGGAUACAUACAACGUAUAUAAAAGUUCUUAAAACAUUAAGUAAGCAUUUAAAGAAGAAAACAAACAAAAUGGUAGGGUCUAUUCUUUGCUCUGCCUCUUCCUUCACCAUUCUUUUCUCUGUUUUUUCUUAAAAAUCUCAAUGUUUUUCUUCACUCUUACAUCAUCAAAGCUCAUUUCAUCAGCUAAUACCAAAGCUAUACCUUUAACAUAACUGUUUUGUCUGUAUAUGUGCAAAUGUUUUGUCUGUCUUCUUUGAGAAGUUCACUCAUGAACAAAGAUGAAGACUUUAAAAAAAAUUCUUGAGCAUAGCUUUAAGAUGAAACAUAAAUGGAAGUUAACAUUGCUAAUAAAAGGUUGAAGUUAUGUAUCCAACAACAACAACCUCAAGUUCUCAAAAGCUUAAUUUAAAAACAACUCUCAUUUGCAAUUGCAUUACAUGCUUAGAUUGAAGUUAUGACAUAAGAAAAAAAGUUGAGAAGAAAAUUGCAGAUUUAAAGGGACUUAGUUCUUCUAGCUCUGCUUCAACAGAUGCUUAAUGGACUCGAAGUCAGGAUCAGAUCAGAUCAUACCAGCAUACCCUGCUGUAUCGAAAAGCACUGCUUUGAUUUGAUCAGGCAGUAUCUCUUGUCCUUCUUGGCAUUGCUGAUAGACAAAAGAAAACAUGUUACUACUAAAACUGUUCUACAAAUCCUUAACCUUUCAACUGAGAGUAGAAGAUCACCUCAGCGCGGAAAACAUCCAAGGCAAACCCAUUAAAACAGCUGAUCACAGCUUGCUGAACAUCCAAUCCAAGAUUAUCCAAAGCUUUCAUGGUAGCGAGCAACAGACCCGGUCUACGACCACAGAACAUAUGAAUGUUCACUGCUCUUCCUUCCCUUAAUCUAACCUCAACCUGUGAAAAAGAAGCAGAGUAAUCUCUCAAACAUGAAUCUUUGUUUUCUUCUUUCCAGUCUAAGCAAAAGUUAUACAGAAUAUAGUCCUUACUCUAGCUUGCUGGCCUUUAGGACUUGGUAAAGAAGAGGGACACAACUCUUCCUUGACACGACAAGAAAGAGUUUGCGGUGUAGGUGUCAACGGAUGGAAGCUUGAUGAAGUUGGAGGCAAAGAUCCAGGAGGAGUUGACUCAAGUUCAUUGUGAAGAUCAUUGAUCCUUUGUAGAAGUUCCUUCAGAUAAUCAAUUGCAUCUCCAAGUAUUGAUGCUCUAUCCAUCUGCAAAUUCAUCGAAAAUCCAUAAAACACUAUCACGAGCCUCUUCCUCAAAAGAGUAAAGCAACUACAUGCAAAGUUUGACAACAACAAAGGCCCUACAAAGCUACAACACAACAAUUCUCUAUAACAGCAACAAGUAAACAAGCUCUUAAGGAGAUAAAAGAGACAAAGUAAGUGUUUACUUUGCUGAUCUUGGGGACAACUGAUCUAAGCAUAUAAAGCCUAUCAUUAAGCUUCUUCCUCCUUCUCCUCUCAGCCAUCAGAUUCUUAGCAGGCAUACCUUUCUUCUUACCCUUUCCUCCUCCUCCAAUCUGAACACUCUCAGCCGCUUUACCGCUCUCAUUUAUCUCAUCAGACUCAUAGUUCAACCCAGAAACCUCAAUCCCAGUCUCAUCCAUAUCUCCAUCAUCACUAAACCUCCUCAUUCCCGAACUCUCCGAAUUUCCCAUUUUGCUUCCAGAGCUCUGACGCAUAGCUGCACGUUUCUGGAACAGAGUAGGCUGUGCACCAGACGAUGCUAACACCUCUAAAGGCUUCAGAACUUUCGCUCUGUUCCCAACAAAACCACCAUUAGCAGGACUACCAAAACCUUCCAACUCCAACGGAGCUGUGAAACCACCACACAACAUUGUGUUGUUGUUGUUGCUUUCCGGCGCAAGAAGUGACCGAGCAGACAAGAAAUCAGGAACAGAACUCAAAUCCCUGUUCCCCAAUUGUGUCAAAGAACCAAACCCCAUCGAAAUAGGAGCAUGGAUUUGGUUAAGAAAACCAGAUUCAGAGCCAAACUCAAAAGCAUUAUCAAAAGGGUUUGCAGAAGAAGGAACAUUGAGAAGACAACCCUUGUUGUUGUUAGUUGACAAGAACUGAUUUUGCUGAGAAGGGUCAAGACUAAAAGCUUGAGAAGGAGAACAAGAAGAAGAAGAAUCAAUAGAGUGUUGAAGAAGAAGAUUAUCAUUAGGGUUAAAAGGAAAACCACCAAAGUAUCUGAAAUCUGGCUGAUUCUGUAACAUCUGAAGAUCUUGUGGAUGUGGUUGGUUACUACUAAACCAAUCACCUUCAAGCAUAGGCUUAAACUGAGAAGAACCAUCUUCUUGAUUCCUUCCCCAUGAACCUUCCUCGUUCUCUUCCCUUUCUCCACCACCACCGUUUAACCAAACCCCUCCACCAUUGUUUCCGUCAAGACCCAUCGCCAAAGUUGACACCUUUACCCCAAAGUCUGAACCUUUAGAGGAAAAUUCUGCAAAGUUGAGACCUUUAACUGAAAUUUGGAAGCUUGAAGACAAUUCUGCAAAAGUUUGAAAACAAAAGAUAUAUACUUUGAAUAUUCAGAGACUUGGAAAAGUAAAAAAAGAGAAGCAUUAAAGUAGAAUCACGAGGAUUUCAUGAAUUGAAGAAGCGAAAUCUGAAAAGGAAGAUAGAGAUAGAGAGAGAGAAUGAUAGAUUCAUUUCUCAGAGCUUUCAAAAAUUGAAACUUUUUUUUUGAUGGAUUCAAUUUCGGCCACCAUGAAAUUGCUUUAUCAUUGAACACAUACCCCAGAUUUCUCGUGACUCUCUUUGCUUUGCUUCGUUUACCGUAUCUCUCUCUCUCUCACCGUCACUAUUUCUCCAUUUUUCUGCUUAAUUUUGGCUUAAGCUUAUCUCUCUGUCUCUGUUGUCACUGUCUCUGUCUUUAUAUAGACAGUGUUUAAGUAAGUUAAUGAUGAUGAUGAUAAUUUCAAAGUGUAAUUAGCAUCAUUCAUGCAACGCGUGUCUUCCAUGCAUUUCUUUAACUCAUAUUAUUACCUAAUUAUUGUUAUGUACUUAAAAGUUCUUUUUCAAAAGAUGGUAAUAAAAUUUAUUUUAUAUUCUUACUAUUAAAUAUAUUUCCUUUUAUUUUUUGUAUUUUUUUAAAAAAUUAUAAAUAAUUAUGUUGUAACGCAUAUCUCGACUUUACCGGCGUCGACAUCUUUUCGAUGGUUCCUAAGCUUCUUGAACAAAGCCACAUCAAGCUCAAGUUUGUAAGUAAAUAGUUUAAUUUCAUAAGUCUUUUAAACAUUAAUUAAGUAAGGACGAGUAAUUCCAAAUUUUCUGAUGAUUGUAGCGUUUAUCACCAUUAUCAACUAAAUUGAGUUCCCAAAAAAAUAUAGUUGUGUUGCGAUAUGCUUUCUAGUCUUCUAGAGGAAGUAAUUAGGGAUUCAUUUUCUAAAAAGUUUUGUUAGUUUCAAUUGUGGCUUUGUGCCUUAAAUUGGCUUUUUGCUUAUAUAGUUUUGGUUUAUGCUUUAUUAUUAGAGAAUUUGUUUUUCUACCGGCUAAGAUUCCGGAGAUUUAAACGUGUUCUCCGGCUAUCUAUCUUAGUUUCCUUCAUUUAAAGGUUUUAAUAAACAUUGAAUUUUUUUUUUUUUAUGGGCUGUUUGUUGCAGUCCACCCAUACUAUAUGGGUUCAAUUAGGAUCACUAUGUAGUAGACCUCAGCCCAAUUCAUUAUGUAUUUUUUAUCUUCUUUCUAAUUUCAUACAAACUAUAAAAUUCUACCUAAAUAACCAAUUUCCAUUUAUUUCUGUAGUUGUAAUUUAUAAUCAAUAAUUCGCGUUUAUUGUUUCGAAAUUUGAGUAAAUCUGAAUUUAAGACUCGGUCAAACUUUUUAAGACUCGGCCAAGCUUUCAAAGUGUUUUUGACAUGUUGUUGGGAAGGUUUUAAACUCGGAUUUACUCUAAUCGCGAAAUAGUAAACAUGAAUUAUUGAUUUUAAAUUGUAAUUACAUAUAAUAAUUGAAUUUGGUAAAUUGGGUAGAAUGUGGAAUUAGAUAGAACAAAAAGAGCAGAAGGUGAAUUGGAUAGAGGUCAAAAAUAUUGGUAAUCCUAGUUAAACGCAUAUAAUACAUGUGGAUUGGUACAAACAGCCAUUUUUUAUUUAUGCAUCAAGUACGGUAGUGCAUUUUAUCCGUUUCAUGAAUAUUGAUUUUGCAAAUUUUCAUUUCACACAGAUUAAAAAUUUAUACUGCAUUUUCUUUCUUUCUAUCUACUUCUUUUUAUUUACUGUAGCUAUACAUGAUUUGAUUUUCAAUAAUAAACACUUCCCAAGAAUUAUAAUUCAAUAUUAGUUUUACUUUAUUUUAAAGCUACUAUAAUACACAUAGGAAUCUUGAAGAUUGAUCUUUGAUGAAAUGGAUGACGUAUCUAUUUCACCAGUUUCAAUAUAUUGUUUCUUUGCAAAUAUAUGAAAAUAGUCUCUUUGUUUUCAAUAAAUCCAGCAUGGCUUGAACAAAAUAAACUUACUCAUUAGAAAUUUUUUAAAGAUGAAUAUGAACAACUUAAAGCUUAUUUUUAACUCCAUCAAAUUAAAUGGUAAUGGUUAGUGUGCAAGGAAAACUUAUUUCCAAGUAGUCGAUAUAUCCUUCAUUUGGUAGCAAUUUGGUGAAUGUGCUGAAUCAACUAGCAACUCAAUGUUCUUCAAAAUUUGGGGUAGAAUCUUCGGAGUGCUCUUCAACUUCGAUUUGAGAAAUCAUUAUUAUUUUUUGUUUCGAUCCAUUACAAUCACCGCAAUGUUAAGUUUAUUAAAACUGAGAUCACUAGGUAGAAAAGUAGAACCACUUAAUUUGCUUUUCAUAUAUAAGUUCAAAUUUAAAGAAAUUAUUUUUUUGGUUUUCCCUAAGGUUUGGGGUUGAAAAUUUUGAAAGAAAGUAAUAGAGUUCGAUAUAUGUAUAUUAAUUUCUUUCCAGUUUUGAUGUUUAAAGAAAAACUAUGUAAUUCGAAAAACAAAAUCUACUUAACGAUGUUAUUGACGGUGGUCCGGUUGUCUUUAGUUCGACUAGCAUCAUAUCCAAAUAUAGUUUAAAAUAUCAGUUAAUUUUCUGUUAAAGACAUGAAAUGUCUUAACAUGUGCAUGCCAUCCACACUAAAUUUUCUACGCCAAAGAAAAUUCAAUUGUAUAAAAUUGGAAGACCAUAGGUUUGUCUACGCAUAAAAAAAUGUUCAAAAAAAUGCAUGAUCAUCGUUAAGUUAUUACUCUCACCCACAAACUUACAACUCUAUAGAUUAACUAUUCUUUGUAGGCAUGAUCAUCACUAGAUUGUAGUCGAAGUUUAUAAGCAAAAGUUAAUCCCAGUCUCUUACACUUCUAACAACCCCAACAAUAUUUUCUUCUUCUAACUUAACUUAGUUAUAAUAAAACUAAGCAAACAUUUCUUUAUUGGGCUUUAACCAAAACCGAUGGCCCAAAAUACUUCUCAGCCCAAACCAUUAUCUUCUUCUCCUUGUUGACUUUUCUGUUGACCAUCUCCACCAGCAAUAAUAACUACAAGGCCUAACCUGAUAUGCAUUCGACGAGAUAUGUAUUCGACGAAAAAGAAAAAGAGAAAUAUGCAUUAUAGAAACAAGAGGCCUAAUCUGACAAAACAAGAUUUAGACUGUACCAAAAUAAAUAAUUUAAGUAAAAAUAUUUUUAAAAUAAUGUAAACGUUUUUGUGAGCUUAGACAAUUAAAAAAUAGCCAAAGUUAUUUAUGGACUUUAUUGACUAAAAUGAAUAUAAAACUUAUAUGAUAAAACUAAAAUGAAAUAUAUGAGUAUAUUAUAGGCCUUUGUUUGUAUUUCGUAUGUGAUCCCUAUGAGGAAACUAAUAAGCUUGGAAUAUUAGAUCAUAUUGGUAGCUAGAUCAAGGUGUUAAACCUCGUAAAUUCAAUUGUUAGAUUAAAGAGAGAAAUGUAUAUGCAAAAGACAGAGGAGAAACACAUACGUUAAAGUUAGGCUUUUUGAAGUUUGAAAUAAAAAAAUGGUUAACACUUCGUCUGUUCUUACCCAUUUCAUUUAAUAAAGUAUGAAAACAAAUGAUAAAGCUCAAGAUAUGUUGAUCAUUUCCAGAGUACAGUGUUAAACAAAAUUUUGUGUAUUUCGAUUGUACAAAGAAUGCAUAUGAGAGAUAGAAAAGACUUGAAUAUAUGACCAUUUCAAAGCAAAGUACUCUACUAAUUGUUGUGUUAGUAUAUCAAUUAAUUGUUAUUCCUUUUAACUAGGGAUUUGACCAAAUGUUUUAUUAGAAAAUUAAACAACUUUGUUGUAUGUAAUAGCCGGAAUUUUUUUGGAUUAGAGUAGUCAUUUUAGCUUAUCCAAUUUUUUUUUUUUUUUUGCGAUAUCAUUCGCUAUGAAAAAUUAUUCAAUUUUGAAAAUCUUGUGUGGUUUAAAACUAAGGUUCUUACAUGCGUCAUUCAAAUGAAAAUAGCUCCAUCUUUCUUCAUCUUAAUUGAUCAUAUUAAUUGUCUAUAAUUAGUGUUAACAGCUAUGAAGAUUUUAUUUUGGCAUAUCGAUUUCGGCACAAUAUAAAUAGAGAAGAAUCGGAAGAAAAUAUUGGAGACAACGACAUACUUGAUGACAACAGAGAUAAUGGAGGUGGAAGUGACGGUGAAGACAUAGACAAAGUAGAUGUUAACGAUGAUAGUUAUAAAUAUGUCAACUAAUUAAGAAAACACCAAAAUCACAUAUCAUAUCUCUAACUAUUUUGUGCAAAACAAACAUGAAAGUCGUUCAUAUUUGCAACUUUAUUAUUCAUGUUCAAAAAAUACAAAAUAAUCAUAUAAAGGAAAAAAUAAUACACAAUAUACCCAUCAAAGUCUGGGUGGUGUAGUCGGUUAUCACGCUAGUCUCACACACUAGAGGUCCCCGGUUCGAACCCGGGCUCAGACAUAUCUAAAAUAUCUGGAGAUGUAUGGUCUUUGGGCUUGAACUUCCAUAUAUUAAAAAAUAUAUAUAUAUAUACAUAAUAUAUCCCUUUUUCAUUGUUGUCAAAUUUUAAAAUUUUGAUAAGUAAUAUAUCAAAUCAAAAGUCUCGAUAUGGAGAGUUCAACUAUAUUUUUAGAAUUUUUAAAAACAAAUGUAUAUAAUUGUGAAAACGCUUACAAUAUGUGCAAAAGAUGCAAAAAUGAGAUUUAUUGCGUAUUAUUUUAGAUUUCAUAGGAUUAUUUUGCAUUUUUUGACGUGAAAAAUAAAAUUGCAAAAAUGAGUGACUUAGAGAAUUUUUUCACAACCCUUAUAUAAUUGAAGAAAAUUUGAAAUCAAUUACGUGUCUUGCAAUUUUAAUUUUAAAACAAUUACGUAUUUCUUUUUGACAUUAGGUUUAGGGUUGGUGAUAUUCCUAUUUACCUUAGUUUCACCAAGGUCUAUAUAAAGACCUCUUAUGAUUAAUAAAGAAAAAAUCUACAACAAUUAACGUAAUUCUCUCUAAGAGACACUUGGGUCAAAGGGAAGGUUUUGCUUAAAUCACGGGUACUGCAUAUUACCAUAUCACUAGAUUUAAGUCUUAGGCUUUUGCUCGUAUCAUUAAUUAGCAAAUGAGGUGGCUUUAGAUCCUAGGUCCAAUAUCAGUUAUUAUUUCAAACUUUGAAUCUUGAAUAAAGAUAAUGUGAGAAGAAAUAUUCCUUUCAUUCAAUUGAAAAACCAAAUAUUUUAAUACAAGUUAGAACAACGUCAAUAACCAUAACUAAACCAAAAGGUAAAUGUUGUUACUAAACAAGUAAAAAAACUGAGUCACAAAUAAACUCAGAAAAAGGUGAAGAAAAGAUUCAUUAUCAUAGAUGCAUCGAUGAGACAAGUGCGCCUUGAAGAUAUGAACACGAAGAUGGAAGAAAUUUGCUUGCAUUCGUUAUUAACUCUAUCAACUCCUCUCCUUGUCCCUUCAAAAUGUAUACUUCUUCAUCAAUCUUCUUCACUACCGAGCUGUUGCAAUCAGAAAACAGAACCUUCACAAUAGCGCUUAACUCUAAUGCGGAACCUGGUUCAUCUUGGCUCGAGCAAAGACCAGUCGAGGAAAAUGUGUUUGGAUUCAAAAUAACGAUGUUGAACAGAGGUGAUUUAGUUGUCAAAUCUUUGACCAACACGUGAAAUGAUAACUCCUCUUUGGAGCAUUCCACUAGCUGAUUCGUAAACAUUCUUUCCAAUGUGUAUUUCCUGAAAACGUCAGAGGAUUCACCCGUCGUCGAUGAUGUGGAAAUAUAGCAUUUGAAGAGUCUAACUCCACCAUCAAUGGGUUUACCGUUGCUCCCAACACCAGAAGGAUAGGCUCCAAGAGGAGAGGAACACUCAGGGCAAGCAAAUUCAAUCCACUCGACAUUCUUUGACACAUUUGACGCUUUCGCCAUAAAAACAUCCUCAAGAAACCCAUCAAGAAGAAACUUCUUAUCAAGUGUAAGUUUCUUCUCCUCCAGCUGAACACUCUCAUUAGAGUCAGGCGAGUCAUGUACACAACAUCCAGGUAGUGAUGCCUUAUCUAUACAACGCGUCUUCGAUUCAUCCACUUGACCACAAACAUUCUCACCUCCACUCUCAUGACUCUCAGCAUUUCCUUCACUAAUUCUAGAACCCGGUUCAACUACACCAACAUCACAACUCAAAGCUAAACUCGACUCAAAUUCGACUUCAGUUCCACCUUUCUCAGACAAGAUACACUCUACAAGAUCAUCUUUGCUAAGCAACACAGUAGUAGCACUAAGUAAACACAACCCACUAGAGCAAGUAUACGAAUUCGUGUACUUAACAACCAUCUUCUCACUAAUUCCACCAAAUGAACAACAACAAGUACCAAACCAAUUAUCAGCUGAUUCUCUCCAAUUAAUAGACGGCAUUUCUGAGAAAUCUAAAAGUUCCUUCUUUGUUAACCUAUUUGAACAACUUCUACAGUAAAAAUGAACUCCUCCCAUUAAAGAUAGAGUCUUUAGAUCAUAACCCAUCACUAAAGGCGCCGACUUUUCUCUAGAAUCAGUCACCAAAUUGAAGUCUGAGACUAAAGGAUGAUCAACAGGGAGUAACAGAACAAGUCUAACCUCGAUGUGAUCGUCUAAAGCUUUGAAAUUUACAGGAGAUUCAGUAUCUAGUAAGACCCUAGGGAUAGGAACUAGAAGAGAAACAAUCUCUUCUUUGCUUGCAGCUUCUUCAUCUUCUUCGUUGAUCCAUGUGACGAGAAGUUGAGAUUUUCCGACGAUGGUUGAUACAUUGAGGCUUUUGCAGUGGAUCUUAGGGUUAGUUUUGGAAUCGAAAAGAAAGAGACGAAGGUUUGGAGAAUGAGAUUGAGCUUCCCAUGUGUAUCUCCAUGUCCUCUGGGUUUUAGAGUUUUGCUCCAUGGAAUUAGAAAUUGCUCUGCUUCGAUUUUUCAUUAUUUAAUUUUGUUUUCUGAUCUUUAGUCGGGUUUUCAAACCUGACCCGACCCGUAUUCAUCUCAAAACCGAAAUAUUUUAGGUACCUGAAAUAACUGAAAUAAAAAUUAAAUAUCUAAAAAUAUUAGUUAUUUCUAACACGAUAAAUACAAAAUAUUUGAAAUAUAUAAAAACAGUAAAAAUAUUCAAAAACAAUUUAAUAUACGAAAAUAUUUAAAACAAAAUAAUUAAAUAAAUAUUAAAUUUUAAAAUUAAAAGAAUCAUAAUCGAAAUGAAAUCAAAGAUAAACUUCAAAAUAUUAGAAUGGAUAUUAAAUUUUAAAAUCGAAAAAAUGAAACUGAAUGGAACAGAACCGAAUAGAUAACGGAACGCCGAAGACUACAGUAAUGACACUGGUGAGUAACCGUUAUCUUUGUUCUAAUAGUGACACUCUAAUUAAGAUUAGCCGAAGACAAAUAUGGUAUUUGGGCCUUUAGAAGCCUUAUACGUAUAAGGCCCGAGAUGGAAUCAAAAUCACGUGUACCCACGUGACCAGAA
rnacentral:lncRNA from 1 species